UUCUAUUUUUAGAAAAAGUGAAAAGAAAGUCUGGAGCUAUAGCUCACUCCAUGGUAGAUCAAUGGCAUAACAUAAGGUCUUAGCUUCAGCCUUUAGUACCAUAUAUUUCCUUAUACAUUGUGUGUGUGUAGUUCAGAGGACAACUUUUGGGAGUCAACUCUCCUUCCACAAUGUGGGACCUGGGAAAUUGAACUCAAAUUAUCAGGCUUGGCCCCAAGUGUCUUUACUGCAAAGCCAUCUUGAUGCCUACCCUCCCACACCUGCCUUUUAAAAAAACAAAAAACAAAAAACAAAAAACAAAAAAACUGCAAGUUUCACUAAGCUACCCAGGCAAGUCUCAAACUGGGAAUCCUUCUGCUUCAAUAUCUGGGCUUACUUGGGUGAGCCACCAUGGUUGGUUCAGAUUUUCUUCUUCUUCAUUUUUUUUUCUGAUUCAAGUGACUGAAUGGAGUUAUAUUUUUAAUUUCAUUUUGUUUCCACGUUAGUAUAGAGAAUAUAAUUAAUUUUAAGCAUUUUUUUGUCUUUUUUUUUCCAGAGCUGAGGACCCAACCCAGGGCCUUGCGCUUGCUAGGCAAGCGCUCUACCACUGAGCUAAAUCCCCAACCCCAAUUUUAAGCAUUUUUAAUAACCUCGUUGAAUGUUUUUUUUCUGUUAAUUUCUGUGGAGGUACUUGUUAUUGCAGCUGAGCUUCACGAGUGCUGGAAGGCACUCUGCUGUGGACUUUCAGUCCUAGCUCCUGAACUAAUUUUUUAGUUCUAGCUAUUUUUUUUACAUAAAUUCCUUGAGAUUUUUGGCAUAAACUAUCAAUCAUAACAAAAUAGAGGCAAUGUUUUUUUUUCUUUCUGAUAUCUCUUUAUAUAUAUAUAUUUUAAUUUCCUUUUCUUGCCUUAUUGUACUGGCUAGGAAUCCCAGUAUUAUCUUGACUAAGAGCAGCAAGAUUAGAGAUCCUUGUCUUGCUCUAGAACUUAGAAGGGAAAGCAUCCGAUUUUGUCAUUUACGAUCACAGACCAGUACAUUUUUUUAUAGAUGUAAGUUUUGUUUGUUUUUGUUGCUGAGGCAGGGAGAUACAGUGGUAAUGAUGCCUGUGAUCUAAGCACUUGUGAGAGGCAAGAUGAUUUCCACAAAUCCCAGUUCCACAUGAACUACAUGGAGAGUUCUAGGGCAGCCAAGACUACAUGGCAAGACUCGGGCUGGAGAGAAGGCUCAGUGUAUAAAAGCACUUAGAACACACUCACAAGAACUCCAAUCCAGAUCCCUGGAAUCUGCACAGUACACAUCUGGAAUCCCAGGGCUCCUACUGUGAGAUGGGAAGUAGAGACACAAUCCCUGGAAACUCAAAGGCCAUCUAGACAGGCAUGGGUGGCAGUGAACACCAGAGACCCUCUCUCAAACAAGGAGGAAGGCUAGGACCACUCAAGGCAUCCCCUGACCUCCAUAUGUAUGCUGCCACACAUGUGCCUGUAGUCACACAUGUGAUCGUGUUGUACACAAGUCUCUGCCUAUGUGUGUAUAUGGGAGAGAUAGAGAGCACUUUCCUUAAAGAACACAAACAAUAACAGUGGCAACAACAGAAAUUUUCUUUCCUAUUCUCUGUAAGCCAUAAUAUACAAUUGGUGCUAACUCUUUAUUUCAGUAGAAUUAGAAUUCUCCAGUGAAGCUAUGUGGGUCUUGAGUUUUCUUUUUCAAGAGGCUUGUAAUUUCUAUGUUGAUGCUAUUAUGAUUAGAAAAGACAUUCUAUAUAAUCUCAGUUAUUUUCAAUUCUUUGAGAUUAGUUUUAUGGAUCGGUAUAUGUUCCUAUCUUGGUAUAUGUUCCUUUAGUACUUAAAAAAAAUAUGUGUUCUAUUGUUGUUUGGAGUAACCUAUGAAUGUCAGUUUGAGCCUAUUAACAGGUAGUGUUGCUGAGUUCUUCUAUACCCUGGCUCUUUUCUGUCUGCUAAACUGGUUGAUGAGAAGGGGAUGCUGAAGUCUCUAACUCUAAUCGUGGAUUUUUUUUCUCUUCUCUCUUCUCUCUUCUCUCUUCUCUCCUCUCUCUUCUCUCCUCUCUCCCCUCUCCCCUCUCCCCUCUCCCCUCUCCUCCUCUCUCCUCUCCUCCCCUCCCCUCUCCUCUCCUCUCCUCUCCUCUCCUCUCCUCUCCUCUCCUCUCCUCUCCUCUCCUCUCCUCUCCUCUCCUCUCCUCUCCUCUCCUCUCCUCUCCUCUUUUCUUUUCUUUUCUGAAAUGUGGGUUGAACCAAGACCUUACACGGGCUAGGCGAGCACUCGGCUGCUGGGCUAUCUUCCCAGCCUUAAUGAUAGAUCUCCUAUUUACCUUUCUUUAUGUAUUUCAAGACACUGAUGUGUGAGGCAUACACAUGUUUUGGAUUGCUUUAUCUUCAUAGAUUGAUACUUUUAUUAUAUGUUAAAAAUGUUAAUGAAGAAACUAAAAAUCUAGCUGUGUAUGGUAGCUCAGGCCUGUAAUCCCGGAUAUGUGGGAGACUGAGGCAGGGGGAUUGAAGCUCAAGACCUGCUUGAACAACCUAGCAAGAUUCUGUCUCAAAAUAAAAGUGAAAAUGGCUGAAGAUGUAGCUUGGGGGUAUAGUGGUUGCUCUAGCACACAUAAAGCCGUAGUAAAAUUAGCAACAACAACAUCAACAUUAAUAAUAUUUAAAUUUAAAAGUUGAAUAUUGCCAUAUUUAUAGGCUGGAAGAUUCAGCAUAGUAAAGUUAUCAAUUAUAUCCAAAAGAAGUAUAGGCUUAACAUAAGUUCUUUCUAAAUUACAUCAAAAUUACUUUAUUGUACUAGACAAUACUAUUCUAAAGUUCAUAUGGAAAGACAAAGAACCAGUUUAGUUUAGUUUUGUUUUACAUGUAUGUAUCUAGAAUGCGUAUUCAUGUGUAUGUUUGUGUGCAUGUAGGCCAGAGAAUUACUUGAGGAAUCGGUCCUCCCUUUGUAGCACGUGACCACACAGGUCACAGGGAUUGAACUCAGGUCAUCAGGCUUAGUGACAAGAAUCUUAACCUACUGAAACAUUUGAGCAGUCUUAACUAACUUCUUUUUUGAGACAGGGUCUUGCUCUGUAGCACAUGCUGGCACUGUAUUGUUAAUACUCCUGUCUCCGCCUCAGAGUGCUAGGAUUGCAGCAGUACACCGCAACUCCAGCCUUUACCUACAAUGAUUUUGAAAAAUGUGAACUAUGGGGAAACAUUCUCAUUCUAGGAUUUAUUAUAUAGCCAUGGUACUAAGGACCAUGAAGAAACAGAUUUAUAGAUCAGUGGAGCAGAAGACAAAACCUAGAGAGACUGAAAGAGUUACCUUAGAAUGGAUGGGCAUUUGGAAAAGGAAACAUCUGGAUUUUCUGCCCUUUUGCAGGACAAAAGAGGGUUUACAUUUUCAACAAAGCAUCAUCUAAAUUUCAAGAUAAAUGGAACACCCUAGAAUUUCUAAGGUACCUAGAAGAAACAGCACCUGAAACUUCUAAACUACCCCAAAUCCAUUUUUGAAAUGGUCUGUAGGUCUGGUGGCCAUAUUUUAUAAUGUAUAAUUGUCAGAUAAGAUGUAAAACUAAGGAUUAAAGCUUUGGUCUUUGGACAGGCUCUAUAACUGCUCUACUAUAAGAAUUAAAGCUUUGGUCUUUGGACAGGCUCUAUAACUGCUCUACUAUAAGGAUUAAAGCUUUAGUCUUUGGACAGGCUCUAUAACUGCUCUACUAUAAGGAUUAAAGCUUUGGUCUUUGGACAGGCUCUAUAACUGCUCUACUAUAAGAAUUAAAGCUUUGGUCUUUGGACAGGCUCUAUAACUGCUCUACUAUAAGGAUUAAAGCUUUGGUCUUUGGACAGGCUCUAUAACUGCUCUACUAUAAGGAUUAAAGCUUUGGUCUUUGGACAGGCUCUAUAACUGCUCUACUAUAAGGAUUAAAGCUUUGGUCUUUGGACAGGCUCUAUAACUGCUCUACUAUAAGGAUUAAAGCUUUGGUCUUUGGACAGGCUCUAUAACUGCUCUACUAUAAGGAUUAAAGCUUUGGUCUUGGACAGGCUCUAUAACUGCUCUACUAUAAGGAUUAAAGCUUUGGUCUUGGACAGGCUCUAUAACUGCUCUACUAUAAGGAUUAAAGCUUUGGUCUUGGACAGGCUCUAUAACUGCUCUGCUAUUGAGCUACAUCACUGGUUCUUACUGUCUUUUUCUUUAAACAAAAAACAGACAUUAGGUUUUUUUUUUUCUGACUGUGAAGCAAUAGAUAUUCAUGCUAGAAACUUUAAAAAGUAUAAAAAAGAGGAAAGAAAAAUUACUCAUAAUUUUAAUCUAGAUGACAAUUGGCAAAGUAUCAUUGAAGACAGAUGGAUAUAGUGACACUUGCCUGCAAUCCUAGCACUGGAGAGGCUGAGGCAGGAGGAUCACGAGUUUGAGGUUGACCUGGGCUACACAGUGAAACACUGCCUCAAACAACUGUUGUCAUUGAAGAUAACCUACUGCUAUCAUUUCUUUUGAAUGUUUUCCUGUGCAUAGCCACAUAGUCACACAUAUAUGCAUUUAUAAAAUUGAGAGUCGAUGGCAUUAAACCAUUUUGUGUUUUUUUUUUACUUAAUAUAUAAUACUUGUCUCACCCGAGUCUUUCCAAAAAUCUUCUUUGUAGUUGGCUGCAACAAUUUUUUCAUAUAAAAAUGCUAGAUGGAAUUAGCAUUAUGCCUCAAAUUUAGUAUAUCAAAACAGAAUAUGACAUGAACAGAAUAAGUUAUUUUAAGCAUGGGUGUGGAAAGCUAGGCGUCCUCCACUGGUAGCCUCCCAGUCCUGCUUUUUGCCCACCUAGGAAACCCCAGACUGACCUUCCUUCUUCCCUUAUCCUUGAUUCUCUAUAAAUGACCUAUUCCCAAGGCCUGGUGACAGUCUUUACACACUAUUUCUCAGCUCUAGUCUAGACUCAUCCAGGCCCACAUUGUCACGAUCCAUCGCAAUCAUCACUCUAUCGUGUCAUUUCUCAUUGUAGAACCUAGAAUGGCUUCCAGGUUGUUGUUGUUGUUUUUUUUUUUUUUUUUCAGUUCAGUCAGCCAGCUUUGUCCUCAUGCUUCUGAGAGUCCCUUGCUGACCGUCACAUCUGUCCUCUGCUCUAUUCAGAUCCUCCAGCCAUCAGAAAGUAAUCUCCCUCACGCUUUACCCUCAGCUGCUUCUAUGCAGUGUCAGCCCCUGUGAUAUCCCCAGCCAUCCAUGGAGGCUAACUUCAAUUAGUCCCUAGAGGCAGAGGUCAUGUUUUCAGCCACUUAGUGCUCCUGACACCAAACACAUUGGAGGUUCAAAAACAACUUGAUUGAGUUGAUAUUUAACGAGAAGACAGGACCAUACCUCUUAAAAUGUAACUGAUUCAGAAUGCAUUUUGGGGCGCCUAUGAAGAGUAGGAAUGGAUUACAAAGAAUGAUGAGGUAAAAACAGGGGAGAGAUGACUAGUAGGCACAGGCAAGUCAGUGCUACCAUGUGGAGUGGAGGCUAGCUACCAGGCCUGGAUUCAAGUCUGCAGUUCACUACUUGGCUUUAUGUGGCUGUAAGUAUGGUGGACUGUGCCCGUGGUUACCAGUCUCCUACUGCAUAAGGACAUACAUGAGACAGUUUAUGUGAAGUUCUGAACACAGUGAAUGUGUGGUACACUUGCAGUUCCUUUUUACCUCAUGGUUUUAGUAGAACAUUCUGGUUUUCAUAAGUGAUCUGUCAAUGGCCUUCACCUCAUGGUAUAUUACAUUUAAGCUGCUAAUUUAUUAUAACUUUUGGGGAAUAGCCCUCAAUUUUUUUUUUUUUUUUUUUUUUUUUUUUUUUUUUAGAAUUUGUAAAAAUUGAAGCAUGCCACUUUUGUAACUCAUUUGGCAACAGUAGCCACAAUAAACCUUUCCAUUCCUUCUGCUUUUAGUGAAGCAAAGCUACUAGUCUGAUCAGUGGGAAAGUGCAAGCAGGUGGCCGGCUCCUGGAGUCUGCUGGGGGUGGGGGAGGGAUGCGGAGAGGGCAGAGAGCAGGAAGGGGAGAUAAGGGAGACACAGCACAGAGAUCUUUACUUAAAGCCAAGCAAACUAGUUUGGGAUUUCCACCACAGUCCUGCUCCAAAGUCCUUCCAAGAAACCGGAAACCAAAUGGUCGGUUUGUCCUUGGGGUCAACCCUGCUUUCUAACCCCUUUUCAAAUGCUUCUCAGUAAGAGGGGGGGGUUAAGCCUCAGUUCUUUGGGGUAGUGUCUCUUCAACAGAACUGCUGUAAGCUUAAGGCUCCAGCAGCCCUUGAAGUCUGAGCCCCACUGCCAACCCAUAGUACCUUCAGACUCCAGGCUGCAGUCGGGGUGGGGCGGGGUGGAUGCUUCUUUCCCCAUCCCCCACACAAUAGUUCUCUCAAGAAUAUUAGCAGCAGAUGUGCAAAGGGUCUCAGCAUGGGGCUGUGGAACUGUAAACAGCAGGCUGGAGCUGGUGGCCAUAGCACACUGGAGGUGGCAGGAGCUACCCCUUGUUACCCUGUCCUCCUCUUAGCUCAGAACGGAGGAGUUCAAAGGUCCAGAUUUCAGUUGAGUGGGAGCUGAUGGAGCACUCAAAGGCAUGGCUUGGGGGCCAGAACUUUAGGAGUAGCUCAUGGCCGUUUUCCUCUUGUUUCCAGGGAUUUGGUGCUUUGGAUCAGCGACAUGGAAGGAGCAGAGUGUGCAGUGAGGGGGAGAAAGAAGGGAAAGACGCACGCAAGCUGGUAAUAGGAAUGUCACAGGACCAGAAAAGUCUAGCUGGAAUACUGCAAUAUCUUUUGCACUCUACCUGUUCAUCCAUUUGUGAGUAGCUACUGGUGAAAACAGCGUGAGUAAACUAUGCUCUUUCUACUAGAAGCUUAUGAAUGCAAUGCUCUCAACAUUGCCUCUGAUACAUUCUUGACACACGAAUUGCCUGUUGGAUCCUCCCAGGUUGAAAGGUAGGAAUUAUAAUGUUUGCAUUACUCAUAUUCCAAAUCUUUUCUGAAACUGGGAAUUCAUAGAUCAUAUCGUUUUCUAAAUGUUUGAAUAUUUAAAGUAAAAAGUCUACUGGGUAAUUUAUACUAGCGAUAAAUAUUUAAAGAGCAAGGAACGAUGCAAAUCUUUUCCUUUGCCAAGGUGUUGCAAGCAAGAAUUCUUGACAAAAAUAACCACGCAGAAAAGAAAGAGCCUAUACUUUGGGGUUUCUGCCUUAAAAUGGCAUCAUGUCUGUGAAUCCAUAGGCUUUCUUAGGAGGUGGCAUUUUAUCUCAGUGCAGAUGAAGACACAUAUCUGCUGGUAAUACUUCUAGUAUUACUGUGGGGAAAGCUGUACACAGGAGACCCAUUGUUCAUUUUUUCAGACAGUGUGUUGGACAGAGCAAUAACAUUUGAUCUUUGGAGCUAGGCAGACCUGACCUCAAAUCCCAGCUCACAUUUUUGAUUGAGGCCAUCAUCUACUCACGGCAUUGGAGGAACUCUUCCCGUCUUUAGUCCCUCCCUCUCCAAUUCAUCCUUAUGCUGCAGCCUAGGAAACGCUCAAAACUACAAAUAAGAGCUUGCCAUUCUCCUCCAGUAAACCUCUUAGUGACAGCACAUCUUUGACAGCAGGGGCUAAGCUCCUUAGCCUGACUCAUCCAAGGCUGGCUUCUCACCCUCCACCUACCUGUCUUCAGAUGAUCGAUUGUUUUCAGUUGCACAGAAGGACACCCACAUGUACUUCCCCACUUGGGUUAUUAUACUCCCCUAGAAUCACUUUCCACCCUCCUGGGCCUGGUCCAUGUGAGUCAUUCUUGCACUGGGACUGGGGUCAGCAGAACUGAGACAAGCACAGGCUCAAGGGCCAGAUGCCAGGGGGAGUCAGGGCCCCCAAGUCAGCCUGCCUCUCCUGGCUUCAGUAGCCGGAUUAAUUACUGUGGAGCUAUUGACAGUCAUAAAAAGGCCAUUAUUUUUUUUAGCAUAAGAUUCUUUAAAAUUACUUCAUUUAAAAUAGUCAUGUAAGUAAAAAAAUUCCAUAGAAGAAAAUGAUAUUUAGUAAGAGACUAUGAGUCUGCUAUGUCCUAGAUACCCAAUUCUUUUUAGCAGCUCUCUCCCUACCCUGUUUGGAGAAAUAGCCUGUAUAUGCAAGCAGAAAGAUAACAUUUUAACACAAUAUUGUAACAUGCUCUAUUACAGCAGCCUGUGUUUGCCUUUUUCAUUUCAGCACAUUAUCUUGGAGAUCCCUUCACAAUGUAUUUGAUUUAAUCAAUUCUCUCCUAGUGAACAAGCAUGCAGGCUGUUUUUAAACUUCUAUAAUGCGCUGUAAUAACCUCUUACUAUUCUUGCUGUGUCCCUGAUCACCAGAAGGGAAAUUCAUUAUUUUUUGCUUUUAAAAAAUCUGUUUCUUUAUUUUCUUUUUAUUAAAAAUUAUACUUAUUACUCUUGUUUUCUAAUUAUAAAAGUAAUACAUUCUAUUCGUAGAGAACUGGGAAAAUAUUUGAAAAACACAAAGGAAAAAUGAUCAUUUACAUUUCAAACAGUGGUUAGCAUUUUGGUGACUGUGCUCAUGUUUUUUUUUUUUUUCCCCUAUUUAUACAUAUGUAUUUUACAUACGGCCUAUUUUCACAUUUCUGGGAGAACUGUGCAAUAAAAUAUAGUGAAAAAGAAUAAUAGGCGAGUCAUGGUAGUGUGCAUCUUUAAUCUCCAUACUUGGGAGGCAGAGGCAGGUGGAUGGCUGUAAGUUUGAGACCAGCUUGGACUACAGAGUGAGCUGUGAGUUCUGUGUUAGCCAAGGCUACAUAGUGAGACAUUAUAUCUAUCUAUCUAUCUAUCUAUCUAUCUAUCUAUCUAUCUAUCUAUCUAUCUUAACAUAUUUAGGAUACUAACUCAUAUAUUUCAUCCCAUUAAAUUCACAAAUUGACCUUAUUAGGCAUUUAUUUCUCCUCUGAUUUUACAGGUGGGGAAAACAAGGCAAAACAAGUUUUCAGAGUCCUAACACUCUAGGGAUUUGAAUUGGAUAUAUCAAAUCCUGCUCUUAUACACUCUAUACCCUUGCCCCUGGCAAUGUUUUGAUUCUAGCAAAACAGGAAAGACAUAGAUAAAUCCUCUACAAUUCAUUAGCAAACCUGUGCUCUUCAGAAAUGCACAAAGACGAAUGCUUACUGUGACAGACUGUACUGGCAAAAAUCAGGACCAGUCCAAAGGUCCAUAAAGAUGCGAAGAGAAAACUAAAACACAGAACAGACUUAACUAAUGAGAGAUUACCAAGCAGUGGAACAAACAGAAAUAGAUCGAUAUGGAUAGAUAUUAAAAACAACACCAGAGGCAGGAAAGGUGGCCCAGCAGUUAAGAACACUGGCUGCUCUUCCAGUCUGAAUCCUGGCUCUGCCAAUUAUUCACGUUGUCAACUUGGGCAAGCCAUCUGUGAAAUGGGGAUAAUAACAGUUGCUAUGAGGAUCUAGAGGAUUAAAUGUAUUUAAGAUGCCCUCAAGAAUGCCAGGCAUUCUCCAUGAUGCUUGUGAGGCACCAUGCUCUGGGGAACCUCCUUGUUCUCACCCUGGGGAUGGAGGGAAGUGUCAGACAAUUUCUGUCUUUCCAUCUAUGACUGUGGAGAAACAUAAGUAUGUGAAUUCCAUGGCAACAGGACAAGGUCUCUUUUUGUGUCAGUAACUGUAAGAUCUCCGAGAAAAGUGUGAUCAACUACUGACUUGCUGGGUGUCCAGGAAGGAUAUUACAGAGGACAUGGAAAUCGGAGCCUAAAGGGAAGGAAGAGUAGAAUUUCACUGAGCAACCAAGUGCAAAGAAGGCUGUUCCCAGAAGGAAUUGUCUUGGUUAAAGGCAUGUCUGGAACUGAGGUUCAGGGUACACAUAGGGUAGUAUAGCAGGAAAAACAUAGUGUACAAAUAUAGAGGAUGUGUUUUUCGGAAAUAUUUUUGAACCUGUGAGUUUUGGGUAUGUGUUGUAUGUAUACAUAUGUAAACCCUGGUAUUUCUAUCCUCAUGUACCUGACUGCUGAACUGACAUGGUGAGACCUAAUUCCUUUCUGUCUAUAUUUAGAGCAAGAAAGUAAGGAGGGCUAAUGAGGUUAAUAAAGGGUGCAUGAUCUGAGAAUGCCAGACACCUUUAAUCCCAGCAUUUAAGAGGCAAUGGCAGGUGGGUUUGUGAAUUCAGUGCCAGCAUGGUCAUAUAUAUAGUAAAACCCUGUUUUUUUAAAAAACCCAAACCAAAAACCCCCACAAACCAAACCAAACCAAAACAACAACAACAAACAAACAAACAAACAAGAGUGUCUAUAUAUGAAAAGAGACCACAUAGUACUGAGGAAAGGCCAUGGGAACACAUGCUGCUAAGGCAGCUGUCUCAGAGCUAUCGAACAAGCUGACUAUGCCAGCACCUUCACUUUCGUCUCCCAGUCCCCAGAACUGUGAGAAAACAAAUCCCUGUUGUUUAUGGUUUUGCAUCUUAUGGGAUUUAGUUUUGAUAGCCGGUGAUAAUACACUUAGUUUUAGCUCCAUUAUGGAUAGCUGUUUAUGCACUAUGUUGUGCCAUUCCCCUAACUGGUUGUCUGAUGCAGCCUCUGCUUUUCUACUCAGCCAUAAGCUCCCUCAAGAAGCACCUAUGUGGAGGCCACAGUGGUGGGCAGCAAAUGCUCCAGAAGAACUAGAUGUAACCUCACAGGGGAUAUGCUGAGUGUUCACAGUGAGGAAAGGGUUGUGGGACUGGAAUUGGUGCUAGCCGUCACAGAUGUCCUAAGUGUCCCUAAACACAUUAGCAUAUUUCUUUCUUUCUAUCCAUUUAUUUCUUCAGCUGUGUUGUUUCUUCAGCCCUUCUAUUAUAGAGUCUUAGCUAAGACAGAAUGGAAUCCAGGACUUUCAGAGCCGUUAUAAGGAAGCAGAGAACCUCUACCUAGACAGUUUUCAUUCAGAAGGACCUGGGCUCAAAAUCUAGAUGUCUUACUUCCUAAGCCUGGUUGCCAUCACUGACUUGGCAUGAAGUGCUUUCUACCCACUGCGCGCACUUAUCAUAACCACCCCGCCAAGUGGCUUUGAGGAGCACUGAUUUUAGAAUGAGGAAAGUAAGCUUCUGGGAGUCUGGAGAAACGACCCAAGGUUCAUGUUGCUUGUUAAAGAGCCCCAAAUGAUUCAGCGUUACAAAACCCCAUGUUCUUUGUGCCAUGCCACAAUCCCCCAAAGAGUAUAAAACUUAGCAUCUAGAACAGUGGUUCUCAACCCGUGGCUCAUGACCGGUCCAUCUCCAAAAGUAUUUAUAUUAUGAUUCAUAACAGUAGCAAAAUUAUAGUUAUGAAGUAGGAAUGAAGAUAAUUUUUUGGUUGGGUGGGGGUGUCACCCCAACAUAAGGAACUAUAUUAAAGGGUUGCAGUAUUAGGAAGGUAUACAAGUACAUUGUAGCUGUCCUUAGAUACAUCAGAAGAGGGCAUCAGAUCUCAUUACAGAUGGUGGUGAGCCACCAUGUGGUUGCUGGGAACUGAACUCAGGACCUCUGGAAGAGCAACCAGUGCUCUUAACUGCUGAGCCAUCUUUCCAGCCCCCUAUAUGAAACUUAAAAGGAUGACACCAUGCACCAGGGACAAAAGUUCUUGCCUUUCUUUGGGAAAACAGGAAGCUAAUGCCUUAAUGCUUAAGCAAAGAAAGGCCAACUGGAAGCAGCUUUUUGGAGGGGACAUUGACCCAAGAGACAACACACUAUUUCACUGGGCUAAGGGUGCAAUAGAGGGCAGGGAUAUAUAUCACUAUUUAUUGCUACAUAUUUAGCAAUCUGCACCAUGCCAGCUCCAGAAGGCACCCAAUGACUUUGUGGGAUGAACUUACUCAGUGCAUCUCCAGGGCUGAAAAACUUAUAGUCUAUGGCCUGGUAUUGUGGCCACUAGAAAGGUGUAGCUAUAGAGAUUAGACCUGAAAGCGCCAGCCACAUAGCUGCUAAGGGUUAAAACUGAAGAAGUACAUUUUUGAUACAUUUCAGAGUCUGCAAUGUUAAGAUUCUCUGAUAGGAAUUUUCCCAAAGAGUCAAUUCAGACACCCAAUAAAAGGGUUACAAGUGGACCUGCAUAUAAUUUGCAAAUGGUUUAUGUUAAACUACAUUCUCUGUCAUCUAUUCCCUGGUGAUUUUCAAGGCAAAAAAUUUAUUACUUCUCUAAAGGUUAUUGCAUAAUUUAUAAAAAUAAUAAAAAUUUAUCUUCUUCUUCUUAAAAAGAGGCUAAGCAUUACUGCAUUUCACUGUCAAGGCUGUUCAGUGGAGACAACUCAUAUCUUUAUUAUUGCCAUAUAAAAUGUUUGAUCAAUCAUAUUUAGAUUCUAUUAUAAAACUUAAAAUGUGAGCACUCCUUAUCCAUAUUAGCUAAGAUGACUGACAUUCUUAGGACACCAAGCUUUAUGUCACCCACACUAGGACUGGCCCACUUCAAUGGCAUUUUGUUUUUAGAAUUCAAGCAUCCCCAAGCCCUCCACAUAGAAAGUGUCAGUGAGGAGCGAAAGCAAGGGCUGUUUCCCCUGCUUCUUACAAGCACAGCUAGGCUCCGGUGCCACUCACUCUUCUUGAAAGCAGGGAAGGCAGAGGUGACAGAGAGCAGAACUGUGAACACCAGUUCCUAACUCCCAGGCGGAAGUCUGGCUUUGUAAGCCGAUCCGUGACAGAGCAGUAAUUUAUAAAUGGAAAGAGAUAUGGGUCUCAUCAUUCAGCGAGCAUUUAUUGAGGGCCUGCUAUGUGCAAGCCACUAGAUAAGCAUCACAGCUUAAUAAGGAGAACUUUCAAAUCCACCAGGCCUUUUCUUGUCAUUGCCUUAAAAUAUCAUGUCGUGUAUUUUAAAAUGACAAUGUAAUCAUGACAAGCAAAUCCAAACUUGACACUAGUGCAACUUAUAUUUGCCUUCUCCCAGUGAUGAUAAAAAGAGCUGCAUAGUUUAAUAAGUAUUUGCCCACACUGUUCCACUGGCUUGGAAUUCCUUUCCUUUUCUCCUGUCUGCCUCUUGAAAUCCUACCUACCCUUUUCAGAUAGAGUUCAAAUAACAUCUUCUCUGUGAAACCCUUCUGACACUCCUCUAAGAAAAUUAAUUAUUCCCUUCUAAACACAGAGCUCUUUGCAUGGAUUCUCUAUUCACAUACUGCCUAUGGUUCCUUGCGCUUUACUCUGAGCUAGAGUCUAUAGGUAAGGGCAAACCUCUGACUUAUCUUGGGAUCCCCAACACAAUGCCUGUGAGUGACAGUAAUCUGUAAAUGAUUGCUGAAGCUGUCCAGUCAACAUGCAAAAGACAUCUAUUAAUAUGUUACAGAGCAUGCCAGAGUAACCUAACGAGACCUUGCACAUAGUAUAUGUUCAGUAAAGGCUGCUGGCUUUGAAUGUAGUAAAUAUGCCAUUUCUCUUAAGUUAAGGCUACACACAAGACUUCUGGCUAGUCCUUCUAUAUGGUACCACAGCAGUAGGCACCAGCCUUAUAUGAAUGUCUUUGCAAUAUUCCAGAUACAAACUGUUACAUGUGCCUAAAAGUAUCACCCCUUCUGCCCUACCAGAGGGCAUAAAGUACUUCACUGAUAGUGGCUUCUUUGGGUAAGAAAUUUGCUUCGGAAGUGCCUUGUCUAUUACUUUCAGGUAAGAAAGAAUAUACCAGAAGUGACCUGAAAGAUUUGAUAACUUUCAGAGGACCUGGCUGUCAUUUUACACUCCUUUUCCAACCACCAUCGGCAUUCCAGCAAGGCUCAGAACACAGCAAAAGGCCCUAAGAAGAACCAAGUGGAAUACAAUUUUAAUUGUGCCUUGUCUUUAGACUGGAUAGCUCCUAACAGCUUAGGGUUUUGAAUUUGCUGCACAUGAAGGUGCUAUGUGGUAAAAAUUUAAAUAUGGCAAAAUCUGUAAAUAUUAUUUAGUAUCUUAGGACUAAAUAAUUUUUGAAUCAUGGCCUUUCAUCAUAGCCAUUUAUAAAAGUCUACUGAUUUUAGAAUGUGGGGAAUUAAACCCCCCUUUCUAGCGGUUUGUAUACAAUAUAAAUGGAUGUCUACUGGAAUGCAUUUUAUAGCUUGAAAGUUCUGCUUUUAUAAGAAAUAUGCCCAUCUUGUUGCCCCCUUGGGGUACAGUCACCAAAGGUCCUUUUCCUCCAACACAGGCACAACAAUGCCUAAUCAAUUCUAUAUUUGCCAGAGACCCAUUAGAUGGGUGCCAGACUUCCCAAAACAUUCUAGUUGGGAGUACCUGAGAUGAGGGGCGGGGGUCCAGUUCAGUGGUGGUGUGCUUGCUCAGCAAGUACAAAGCCCCGGGUUUGAUUCCUGACACGACAUAAAAAAGUAAUCAGGGUGAUCUUUGCCUUUCUGUUAAAAAAACCAAACCAAACUAAGAUGUUUCACAACUCACAAACAACUGAGGGAGUUCUUAUUUAGUAUUGGUAGCUUAAUGAAUUAGGUAGAAGGACACAUCUAAAUUCUGUUGAGUUUAGCUGAAACAAAGACUAGGCCUUGCUUCCAAAACAACAUGCUAUUUGAACAGUAAAACCCUCCAGAGUCCAGAGAUAAGCACAGUUUCUGAGCAUAAUCUCCCCACUCCCCCCCGCCCCCCGCCUGCCUUGGUCAGCUUGCAGAGGCAUGGGCGAGAGGACAAUGCCAAUACAAAUGGAACUGUAUUCGAAGGAAGCAAAAGGAGGGCCAGAGCAGUGGGUGAAAAGUUAACUGACUUCACUUAGACCACCAUAUUAAAACCAGAUGUGGCUAAACUGUUUGGAUGAGAAAAACUGGUGUUACUGAUAGCGUGAACAAACCCUUUGUGCUUCCCUCCCAAUACAGUAUCAUUACAGGGCGCUGGAGGUGUCAUUUUCUUUCAUUCCACAUGUAGCACAUUCUCAACAAGUUAAACCGUUUCUAAUCUCGUGUAAUUAGAUAGGUCUCGCUACAUCCCUCAGUUGAAGGAUUUUAUGAGCUUUCUUGUUCUGUCUCCCUUUUGUGACAGCUUCUUUGGAGCUGGAAACUAACAUUUACUAACAUUUCUUCCCUUCUGGCACCUGUCAGCUGGAUGGGCUCUGGGAAAAGGAGGCUCGGGAGGAAAGGAAUGGAAUGCCUACUCCCUGCCUGCCUGGCUUGGUAUCACAGCCCUCUUUGUCUUGCUCUGCUCUGGAAAGUGCUAUUAAAUAUACAUUCAAAAUAAACAAUGGGCAGAGGGACGAAUAAAAUGAUGAAGAUCUUAAUUUUCUAUUUAACAUAAACGUCAAGUUCCUUUAUUUACUAAAUGUGCAGCCAGGGUGAGGUGCGAGCCAGAGAUGGAAGCUCUUUCAUACAGCCCCAGGGUGACCCACCCUGCAAAGCACAGAGGCUCAGCUCUUUGAUCUCCCCGGCCAGUCACUUUGGGCAGAGCCCACCACUAGCUACAGCGACCCCAGCAUGACUGCCUUCUCUUUCUUUUGGAGCAGAGUUUGAGGAGUCAUCGGACAUUUGACAUCAGAAUCAAAGGCUGGAUAAACACAAGGGUUUUUACUUCAAUGAAGAAAUAAUAAUCGCCCUUUGGAAUUGAAAGUUUUCCCUUCAAAAGGCUUUACGGCUUUCCCCCAACAAGAGCUUUUCUGGGGUCAUUUCUUGACCAUUCUGUGACGUCUUUGUGAGGUCGCUGACUGGCAAAUGCUCUCCAUGUGUCGACGGGAAAACACAGAAUUAAGGCCGAUUAUGCUUCUAUGUUGUAGGGCUUGUGCAUGAUUGAUUAUAUGCAGGGCCUGACCUCUUACCACAAAAUUCUGUGGUUUUUGUCCCAUAAUGAGGAAAGACAACUGAAGGAGUGCAGUAUAGAACAGAAAUGCAUGAGUGACAGGGCCACCUGACGUUCCCUGGUACUUUACAGUUUAUAAAUCGCUUUCAGAGUUGCCCUUUCAUGGAUAGGCAGUGUUCACUCCUAUUUCACCAAAGCAACUGGACAGCAGAAAUAAGAGCCUGAGUUGGCACUGGCAGAGCUCCGGGUUUCUCACGCCAGGGCGGGGCCACUGGGGUGAGCGAGUGCUGUGCCUUCCAGGAAUAGUACUGGCUGCCCGAGAGAGACUCCUUGUAGAUGGUCUGGAUUGGAGAUUAAGUUGGGUUCUCUUUGCAUUCCAUUUAGCAGAUUGCUCAUGCUUUCACUACAGAUCAGGCUCAGGAAUUCCUCUGCCAGCUGAGAAUCUGAAUGUUGCUUUGGCUGUGAGACAGUAUCUUAUUUAUUCCCAUAAAUCCCUUCCCCCUCUUGUCCCUGAGUACUUUCACCCUAAAAUGGAAAAGGGGGCAGGGAAGAUGAUGUGAACAUUUGGGUGCUGGACCGAAGCCACCCUUGGCAGUUUUUGUUCAUCUCUAAGACGCUCCCCAGCAUCGACUAUAGGCCAGUGAGUCACCCAGAGUAACACAUAGUCCCUGUAGCCUUCAUAAAUUAGUUCCUCAAAAGUGCUGCUGAGGAAACAAAGCAAGCGGAGUUCAAGGGUGAAAAGCAAAAGCUGCUUUAAAGAACACUAGUCAAUUUCCAAGGAGAGGAUGAAGAUGGGGCUGCAAGUGAUGAAAGUGGUCUGCACUUUUCAGAUUUCCUCUCCAGUUUUAAAGUGGAGGCUUGAGCCUCUUAUGUCCAAGGGGAGCUUUGACAUGAGGAAGUCAGUUCACCCUGGCCCUGCUCACUGUCUAACAAUCCAGGGGCUCUGAGCAGUUACACAGCUCAGCAUCCCUGGCAGAGGGAGGGCAGUCCCAAAUUGGAAAGGAAGAAAAACGAGAAGCAGCUGGCACAAAUGAUGCCUAGUGCUACGCUACUCAUCUAUCCAGCUGUCUCUUUAGCAUCGCUGUUAGUGCAUCUCUCAAUGACCAAGCUCAGUUUGUACACAUAGAGGUCUCUUUUGGUCAUUGCUGUGUUUGCUUGCCAUGAAACAGAGGGAAAAAAAUGUAAAGAUAAGCGAAGUCAGAUGGGCAGACACAUCUGUAAAGAUGUUUGCAGGUGCUCCUUUCUGGAAACGUACACAGAAGGAACACCACACAGGAGGGUUCUGUACAGUGCCCAGAAGCCACUUGUCACAGGCAGCAUGGAGGGUGAGGACAGGCUGCAUUGGUCUGUAGGACAGUUUCACUUACACUUCUAUUUAUAGUCUCAAAACUAAAUAUGAAAAUGGGAGUUCCUGAUUAAAGGAUGGCCAUUUGGAGAUACGCGUGGCUUUGUUUUUCUACACUUCUAGAGAGCCAACUCAGCAAUACUUAGAAGAGCUCUAAUCAAUAGAGAGGAGGUUAAUUACUCACCAACCUGGAGACCAGGAGGGGAAAUGUGCAAGCUGUUUUCCCCUCAGGUAGACUUAGAAUUUUUGUCUGUUUAGGCUGGAAGGGACUACAAAGUGUAUCCUAGUUAAACCCCGAAGAGAACUCUGGAAGAAUUGGAUGUUGUCUUGGGUCACAUGAGCUGGUGGAAAAUUCCAUUAGAAAACAAAACAAAACCACCUCUCUGGUGCUUUACGCCUCAAGUUUCUGCCCAUCCUCCAGCCCUGUACCUUUAGAGACCUCUAAAGCUACCCAGCAUGUCAGAGUCUGUCCAAUUUCGCUCUUCUAUGACAACACUGGGAAGCUCAGUGCCUGAGUACAUCCUUGGCCACUACACAGGGCAUGAUUAUUCCUGUACUACUGAGCUUCCUGAAAUCUGCCCUCUUUUACAGGCAGUAGGAGGGAAAUAGGAGAGCCAUGCACCCAGACCAACACAGCUGCUGUGGAAGUCCACUACUGCUUACAAGUCUGUUUUUUUACUCUUUAAAACCUUUCUUUAUAAAACCUUAAUUUCAACAAAAGCUGUAACAAUGGCUGCAGGUCGGGCUCACUAGUAAGAAAUUUGGCUAGCAUUCAUGGAGGCCUAGGUUCCAUCUCCAACAACCUGCCCUCACUCCCUGCCCCAUGCAAUUGUAUAUAUUUCUAGUGUAUGAGGUGGUGUUUUCACAUAUACAUUAUUAAAAAGCGAUGAAACCAAGCUAAAGAACAUAUCUUCUGGGUUGGGAGAGGGUGAGGAGAUAUUAGUCAAAGGGCAUGCGUGUCAGGUAGGAGGAGGAAGGAUCACGAUGAACUUAACACUGGCCCGCUGUGUACUUGGAAAUUGCCAGAGGAGCAGAUUUGAAAUGUUUUCAUCAUAGUUUUUACAGGUUCCAAUCUGAAAGUUCUUAGAAGAAAAGAAUUCCUCUCAAGUUCUCAUUUUAAGAUAUAAUUGAUAUGUACAAAUGCCUCAUAUACCUAAAUCAUAUUUGUAUGUAAUUUUCUAUACCUAAACACUUAACAUACAUGUAAAUUAUGGAGUCUAAAAUAUGUAGCUGUAAACCUACCACUGCCGUGCACACAUCUACCAAAUAUGACCAGCUGCACUGAGGCACCCGUCCCCCACAAGCUACCCUCACCCCACCCCACUGUUUUAAGUACUAGAGCGGUAUGGUAACAUGUAAUAUCUGAUAGAGGAAGUCCUAUCUUACUGCUCUUCAAGAAUGCCCUGGCUUUUCUUUGCAUACCUAUAUAAAAUUUAGAAGCAACUCAUCAAAUUCCAUGAAAGGCCCUGUAAGAUUUUUGAUAGGAAUUACAAUGGCUAUAUUGAUUGCUUUAGACUAUCUAUUGAUUGUAAAGGAUAGCUUUACAAUAUUGAGUCUCCCUACCUCUGAACAGGACACGGCUCUUUAUCUUGAUAAAGUUUUAUAAUUUCCUCCACAAUGGAUCUCUGGCACAUAUUUUGUUUGAUUUAUUCUUGACACCUUCUAUUUUUACUGCUGUCGUAGUUUUAAUUGCAUUUUUGAUUCUUGCUGCUGCUGUAUAGACAUGACACUGAUCUCCUUGCAUUCUUUCUGAAAUGUGUAUCAAUCCGACUUUUCCAUUUAGCUCUAGUAACAUUCCUCCAGGCCUCCGUGACUCUCUGUUGCUUAGUGCAACUGUCAAUUUUCAGUUCUUAUCUUGCUUGAUUUUCCCAGCAGCACGUGACACAGUUGAGCACAACCUCCUCUUUGAAACACAUUUGUCACCUGGCUUCUAGAACUGCAUACUCUUGAUUUUCCCUCUUUGUGUCUGUUUUCAGUUCUUUCUGUCUUCUUUGCUAGUUCUUAUUUCUCCUCCAACAUUUUGACUUGGGACUAUCUCAGAGCUCAGUUUCUAGACAUCUCCUCUUCUCCAGCUAUACACCACCCCCCUUGGUGAUUUUAUUUAUCUCAUAGUUUUAAAAUUUACCCAUAUAUUAACUCCCAGUUUUACAAUGCUAGUCCAACUCACCGUCAGGAAAUAGCUAGAGAGCUGUAUUUUUCCCUUCUACCAACUUGACAUCUCCAGCUCAACAUGCCCAAGCUGGACUCUUUAACUUAUCAUUUGAAACUAUGCUUCCCACAGUCUUCUCUCAGUUUCUGACUCCGUAAUUCCAGUUACUCAGAAAAAAAAUCUUUGAGUCCUUGCCUUCCCUCAGCCCACACACAAUAUGUUAGAGAAACCUACUCAUCCUACCUUUGAAAUAUACAUGUGCUUCUCACAGUGUACUCCUGCAGUCCGAGUUCAAGCCACCACAAUGUUUUAAAAGUGAUUUUAGUAAGAUAUAAUCUACACACCAUAAAACUCAUCCAUCCAGCCUUUUAGUGUAUUUACAGAGUUAGGUGAACACCAUCAGAACCUAAUUAGAGAAUAUUUCGGUUUCCUCUAAAGGAAAGCAGUAGUCAUUAACAGUCAUUCUUGAUUGUUUCUUUCUCCACACCAAGUGGCUUUAGGCACAUCUUAAUCUCCUGUUGCUAAAGAAUGUGGCCUUUGCGUGCUGUGCUCCAUUAUUCUUUAUUACCAUUCCAUAAUUCUCCAUUGUAUAAAUAUAAAAUACCACAUUUUAAAAGAUUUAUUUAUUUUAUGUAUGUGAGUACACUGUAGCUGUCUUUAGACACCCCAGAAGAAGGUGUCAGAUCCCAUUACAGAUGGUUGUGAGCCACCAUAUGGUUGCUGGGAUUUGAACUCAGGACCUUUGGAAGAGCAGUCAGUGCUCUUAACCACUGAGCCAUGUCUCCAGUCCCCACAUUUUAUUGAUAUGCUGACCAUCUCUGACAUUUGAAUUAUCUCUACUUUCAAAUUAACAUGAAUAGUGCUGCUGUGAACAUUUGUGUACAAGUUUUUGUGUGGACAUGUUUUCUAUUUUUUUAUUAUUUAAAACAAAAUUAAAUUAAAUUAAAUUUUAUUUCAUUUUGAUUGUAUUCUUCCCCUCCCCCAAAUCCUUCCAGAUCCUCUCUCCUUCCCUAUCCACCCAAGUUUUUUUCUCAAUAAACAAAACUACAACAACAAAACCUAGGAAAACAAAAUAAACUGUGCCCUGCUACGGAUAAAAAACUAAAUACAUAACCCACCAAACAGUGACCAAAUAAAAGUGAGUACUCGUGUGCAUGUACACACACACACACACACAAACACACACUGUGGAGUCCGUUCAUUAUAUGCUGGUCAACUACUCCUGAACAUGAGGCCUGUCCUGGAGUGGUUGACAUAUCCAGUGUUACUCUAUUGGAAACAAAAGGUUUUCCCUCUCCUAACCUUUACCCUUAUGGCUAGGUUUUCAUUCAUUCCCUCAUUAAUUUUAGAAUAUAUGACAAAAUAACAUUUAGCAAGAAAAAGCAAAACUAUUAGUUCAGAGUUAGAAUAUACAAAUCAACAGAAGGAAAAGGGUCCAGGAGAAGGCACAAGAAUCAGAACCGCCCAAGAAUCCAUAAAAACUCUAAACCGUAAGCCAUAGUAUACGUGCAGAGGACCUGCUGUGGACCUGUGUUGGUCCUGUGCUUGCUGCUGCAGUCUCUGGGAGUUCAUGUGAGCUUUGCUCAUGUUGAUCUUGAGGGUCUUGUUUUCUUGGUGUCCUCAUGUUUUCACUGGGUAAAUAUCUAGGAGUGGAAUUGCUGAGUCACAGGUUUACCUUUCGGAAGAACUGCCAGUCUGUCCUGAAGCAGCUGUGAUAUUGUGUUACCAUUGGCAGCCUAUGAGGAUUCCAGCUGCCCAGACACUGACUCUCACUGGUUAUUAUUUUGAUAGCAGUCAUCCUAUCUCAUAUGGGUUUGACACUAACAACUUUUCAUGAUCUUGUUGGUCAUUUGAAUAGAUUCGAUAAAAUUUUUUAUUAAACCUGUUCAUUCACUGAUACAUUGUUUGCAUAUGUGUAUGUGCGAGUGUGCCAUGGUGCACACAUGGAGAUAAAAUACAAGUGGUGGGUAAAGUUAACUCAGGUUGUAAGGCUUGGGGACAAGUGUGUGCACAUGGUUUACACACACACACACACACACACACACACACACACACACAUAUGCAGGCAAAAUACUCAUAAUGCAUAACAUAAAAAUAAGUUAAUGUAUAAUAAAUCUCAGAAAAGCUUGGCAGGAAGUUACUUGCUAAGGCAUCUCAAUGGCCCUUUCAUUCUUUUGUGCUAUAUUAUUAAGGUUUAGCUCUAUGGUGCAUUCUAGAAAAUGUUCCAUGUAUAUGUAAGACUGAGUAUUCUGUUUUCUAGUAGAGUAUCCAUCCAUCCAUCCAUCCAUUCCAUCCAUCCAUCCAUCCAUCCAUUCCAUCCAUCCAUCCAUCCAUCCAUUCCAUUCCAUUCCAUCCAUCCAUCCAUCCAUCCAUCCAUCCAUCCAUCCAUCCAUCCAUCUCUCCAUCCAUUUAUCUAUCCAUACAUAGACUUAUAUACUACCUAUUAGUAGGACAUUUAAUUCUUAAAUUAUUAUUUGUCUCUUUCUUCAUUCUUCUCUGUCCAUUAUUUUAUUAGGUUAUGUUGAGGCUCUACUGUCAGAUACCUACACAUGUUUUUGUUAUUUGUUUGUUUGUUUUUUAAUAUGGUCUUGUUAUAUAGCCCAUGUUGGCCUUGAAUUGUGGUGCUGGUGGCUCAGCCUCCACAGUACUUAGAUUACAUAUAUGGGUGAACUAGAAUUGUUUGACUUUUUCUAUUUUUGUGGUACCAAGGAUUGCACAUAGGGCCUCUUGCAUGCUAGACAAACUCUCUGCCACUGAGUGACACCCCUAGCACUCUUUUUCAUUUUCAAAUUGAAGACAGGCUGGCCUUAAACUCACAGUAUAGCCCAGAAUUUGCAAUCCUCCUGCCUCAGUUUCUUAAGUAGCUGGGAUAACAAGGCUUGCAUCACCUGGGUUAACUGGCUUUACCCUUUUACUAUCAUGAAAUGUUUGUUUAUAGUCCUAGGAAUACUUUUCUUAUAAAGUUUGUAUUUUUAUGUUGUGCAUUCAAUAUGUCCUUUUUUUUUUCUUUAGUAGUUGUUGCUUACAUAGUACAUCAAUUUUUUUGUCUGCCUUUUUCUUUCAACAUAUUUGUAUCUUUUGGGGGAAAUUGCCAGAUUGUCAGCAGUCUGACAAUAUUUGCCUUUGGGUUAGCUAGUUCACCCCCAUGUCAUUAUUAUUCAGUGCCUGCCCUUUUGUUUACUCGUGUGUCUGUGAGUGGGUGGGCGCAUAUGGGUGUCCAUGCAUGCAGAGGCUAGAGGCCAACCUCAGGUACUAUUUGCUAGGCACCAUCAACCUUGUUUUGUGAGCCACUGUCUUUCACUGGUCUGGAGCUUCCUGAGUAGGCAGGCAGGCUGUCUAAUGAGCCCCAGGGAUCCUCACAUCUUUACCUCCCUGCUAACAGAGAUGCCUGGUGUUUUUUUAAAUGUGUCCUGGGGAUCGACCUCAGGUCCUCCAGCCUGCAUGGCAGCGCUUAUCAGACUCAACUAUUUCUCCAGUCCUAUGGACUGCUUUCUGCAUUUUGAUUUGUUUUGUAUAUGCAAUCUGCCUUUUUUUGGGUUUUGAUUAUCUCUUAGGUAGUUACUAUAUGAUUUUAAGUUUAUUUUCAUAAUUUAAAGGUUAAGUUUGAGCUAACCUUCUAAGUGGCAUUUUUAGGGCUCACAGUAACAUUUGAAUUUACUAGAAUGAACUUUAGAUUUAUGCUGCCUUAGUUUCAGUGAGAUACAGGCGCUGUAUGUAACUUUGUUGUACCACCUCUUUUUGUAAUUAUUACUAUAUAUACCCACAUGUACAUACUUAUGUAAGUUCUAAACCCAACAAAAUAUUACUUCUUUAUUACUUUAUACGAUUUUAUGCUUUUUUAAAAGGCUGGAAGAAGAAAGGAGAUUGAAUUUGUGUUUUUAGGGUUCAUUAUACUAAUAUUCUUACUCUUUGCUUGGUUUUCAUUUCUUCCUCUGCAUUUGAGUUACCAUCUGGUAUCAUUUCCUUACUGAAAUGGGGCUUUGCUCUUAUUUCCUUCCUUUGUGCUAUAUGAUUAUUAAUUAUAUUCCAUUGCCCUGCUUAUAAUCCUAACAGUACAAUUGUUUUAUGCAAUUAAUUUUUAAAUAAGUCAAGAGAGGAAAGGGGAAGAAAUAUGCAAUUUGAUUAUCUUUUCAUAUUAAGCACAUGAUUACCUGUAGUAGUGUUCUAUGUUUUGCAUAUGGAAUCACAUUACUGCCUGGGGUUACCUGCUCGCAUUCUGAAGAACGUCAUUCAGUACUUUUAAAAAGAAGGUAUCCUAGCAAGGAAUUCUGUUUUCUUGUAAACUGGGACUGCCUUUAUCACUUUUACAUUUUCUUGUUGAAUUUUUUUCUUUUUCUUUUAAUCAAUGUAAAAAUUAUACAGUUUUUUUUGGGGGGUACAGUGCAAUAUUUCAAAACCACAAGUACAAUCCUGGAUUGAUAAGACUGAAUCUUAUCUAUUUAAUUUGUUUUAUAUUUGACACCUUCACCUUGCUUUUGUUACUUCUUUAUAAAACACACAGUAAAUUAUUGUUAAUUGUAAACACAUCAUAGUACUGUAGAACAUUGUGACUUAAUCUCAUCUGACUAGGUUCUGGGACCUAAACCUAACUUUCUUGCAUCCCCCAACCUUUUAUGCUUCCUACCCUCUAGUAAUUGUAUUCUCAGAAAAUAUUAAAUAUUUUAUUUUAAUUUUUAAAAAGUAUCUUAGAACAUACCAGGUUUGAUAUGAGAUUUUCAGACAUAUUUUAUCUUGGUUGAUUGUCUUCGUCCUUACUCCGGCUCAGCCCCUCAGCCCCCUCUCCUCGUUACACUUUUUCUCCUACUUGGUGACUGCUGGGAGGCAAAGGCUGACAAGGAGGAAGCAGAAGCAGCAGGGAGGGGUUCCGAACACCUAAGUGAGAACAUGUAAUAUUUGUCUUUAUGUGUCUAGCUCACUUCCCAUGUCUUCCAAGCCCACCCAUUUUACUGUAAAUAAUAGACUUAAAUUAUUUUCAUAGCUGAAUAAUAGUUUAUUAUGUAUAAUAUAAAAAUAUAUAUGGUGAAAGUAUCUCUGCUGUGUUGAUUUCAUUUUCUUUGGAUUUAUGUACAGAAAUGGGGAUUGAGAUCGUUAAUUUAACAGAUUUAUUUUUAUACUGAGAUUAUUUGUUAGAUUUUAUUUUUAGUUUUAUUUUGACUGUGAACGUCCAUAGUGUUUCCCAAUAAGGGUUGUGUUAAUUCACAUUUCUACUAUAAGCCAUGAGAAUUUUGUUUUCUCCAAAUCCUGAGUAGAAUUUGGUAUAUUUCUUUUUUGAUAUUAGCUAUUAUGACUGGGGUAAAGUGAUAUCUCAUUUAACAGUUGGUUUUAAAAUCAGGUGUGUGUGUGUGUGUGUGUGUGUGUGUGAAUGAAGGUAUGCCCACAAAGGCCAGAAGUGUUAGAUGCCCUAGAACUGGAGUUACAGGCAUUGUGAGCUACUUGACAUGACUGCUGGGAACUGAACAUGGGUCUUCUAACACAGGCUCCUAACUAGUGAAUCAUCUCUCCAGCAUACUUCAUUGUAGUUUUGAUUUACGUUUCUUUAACAGCAAAUGAUGCUGAAUAUUUUUCAUAUACUUCUUGGCCAUUGGUAGUUUUAUUUUAAGAAUAUUCUGAUAAUUUGCCUACUUUAAACUCGGAUCUUCCUGGUUUUCUAUUGUUGAGUUCCAUAAAUACCCUAGACAGCAAUCCUUGGUUGUAUGAACUAUUUUGCAGUUUCCCUCUGUCCUUUGCAGCACAGAAGCUUCUUAGUGUUAUAUAGUCUUAGUUGUCUUAGUUUUGCUUUCAUUGCUCGUGCUUUUGGGUGUUUCCCUGCCCCCAUUAUUUCCUUAUAUCAAUGUCCCUAAGUGUUUCCUUAUUUUUUCUAGUACUUUCUUCAGUUUCAGGUCUUACACUCUCUCUUUAAGCCAUAUUGGAUUCAUUUAUUUGUGUGUGUGUGUGUGGGGGGGGGGUGAGCAACAGGGGUCAACAUUCAGUUUUUUUGCAUAGGGAUAUUCAGUUUUUAUAGUAGUGUUUACUGAAGGGUUAUCAUUUCUCCAGUGCUAUUUUGAUGCCUUUGUCAAGAUCCAGCAGUCUACAGGCAUAUGGGUUUUUCUUGGACUUCCGGUCUGUUGUACUGUCUUAUCUGUUAUAGUUUUAUGCUUCUCAUAUAUUGUCUUGGCUACUACAGCCUUAAGGUGUAUCUUGAGAUCAUGCCUUCAGCUUUGUUUGUACUCCAAGUUGCUCUGGCUGCUAAGGUUCUUUGUAUUUCUAUAUGAACUUUAGGGUUUUUUUUGGGGGGGCAGUGGGUAUUUCUGUAAAGAAUGCUACAAGUGUUCUUUCUGAUGGGAAAUAAUACCCUGAAUCUGUGAACUGUUUUGGCAUUACAUUUUUAUUCUAUUGUAAUUAUUUUGGUUGUAUGUGUGUGGGCAUAGCAUUCAGUGGGCACAUAAGUGGAGGUCAGGGUACAACUUGCAGGAGCCAGUUCUCUCUACCAUAUGGAUUCCAAGUAGUGAACUUAGGUUGUCAGGCUUGGUGGCAAGUGCCUUUCCCCACUGAGCCAUCUCACUUGCCUAAGGGCAUUUUUAAUAGCUCAGAUUCUUUUAAUCCAUGAGCAGCGAAGUUUUUCAUUUUUCAAAUGUCUUCUUCAUUCACUUUGUCUUUUUAAUCAGUAUUUGUAAUAUAAUCUAGAGGUCUUUUAUUUUCUUGGUGAAACUUAUUCAUAGGUAUUUUAUUUUUUUUGUUACUAUUAUGAAUGGGAUAGCGGUAAUGAUUUCUUUCUUAGCAAGUUUAUUAUUGGUGAGCAAAAAUGCUACUUCUUUUCUAUAUUGAUUUUUGUAUAGUUAUUAAGAUUACCAAGUUUAUUGGUUAGUUUUGAAGAUCUUUUGUGGAAUCUUUAGGUUUUCCUGUAUAUGGGAUCAUGUCAUCUGAAAACAGAUUUUUUUUUCAAGAUAUGGUUUCUCUGUGUGGUCCUUGAUGUCCUGGAAGAGCAGAGUAGCCUGCAUCUCAGAGGUUCAUCAGCCUGUCUUUGCCUCCCCAGUGCUGGGAUUAAAGGCAUUUGCCAUCACAUCUGGCUUGAAAGAAAAAAAUUUCUUGUCUAUCUUUUUUUCUUGUGUAACUGAUAUGGCUAAUGCUCCCUUUUAUUUUAUAAAGAUAUUUUUCUAGAUAGUUCUCGGUGCCUUUUAAAUUUUAAAAUAUUUACUUUAUGUGUAUUUAUGUGGACACCUGAGUAAGUGUGUGUGUUUGUGUACCACAUGCAUGCAGAAGCCCUUAGAAGUUAGAAAAGGGUGUCAGAUCCAUCCAUGGAACUGGAGUUAUAGGAGGUCAUGGACCACCAUGUAAAUUCUGGGCACAGAACCCAGAUCCUCUCCAACAGCAGCAUGCAAUCUUAAGUGGUAAGCCAUCUCACAAGCCCCUGGUGUGUUAAGAUAAAAACUUAAAAAAAAAAAAAGCCUGUAUUGUGUCUGAUGAGAAGUCAACUGUUAAUGUUCUCGGGGUUCCCUUAUAUGUGAUGGGUCUCUAGUCCCUUCUUGUUUUUGAGGUUGUCUUUUGCUUUUCAGCAUCUUACUACAUGUCUCCCGGGUAUGGCCUUUGUUUACCUUACUUGGAAUUAACUGAACCUGAGCAUGUAGAUAAAUAUCUUUACCCAAUGUGAAAGGGCUUCGGCAAUUAUUUCUUUGACUAUCUUUCUCUGUCCUUCUUCCGUUUUUUUCCAGUACUCUACUUACGCACACUGAUGUGCUCAAUUUUACCCCACGUUUCUUUGAGCCUGUUUAUCUUCAUUCUUUUCACUGUCUUCAGAUUGCAUAAUCACUAGUCAUACAUCUUCACAUUGGCUGAUUUAUUCUCCUGCCAAGUCUAAUCUACUAUCAACCCCUAUCUAGCCAAUUUUGCAUUUUAAUUAUUGAACUUCUCCCUAAAGAGUAUCUAUUUGGAGGUAGGUGGCACACACUACCCACCAUCACAGUCCUUAGGAAGACUGCUGCCUAGGCUUUUCCAGACCAUCCUAGGCUACAUACCAAGAUCCUGUUCCCUUCCUGAAAGAAAGGGAGAAAGGAAGGAAGGAAGGAAGGAAGGAAGGAAGGAAGGAAGGAAGGAAGGAAGGAAGGGAGGGGGGAAUGACAGAACAAAUGCAACAUAUGUAGUUCCUUUCUUCUUUACAGUUUCUAUUGCCAUCCUAUCUUCCACAAUGCCUAUUUUUUCUACAAUAGGUCUUGUCAUGUAAUGCAGGCUAACCUUAAACUCACGAUCCUCCUGCCCAGCUCUACUGAAUGCAGGGAUUACAUGUAUGUAACCUCAUAUCUGUGAGAGAACCCUGUCUCUUGCCUUAAUUCCUUAAGUAUUUCUACCUUUGAGUGCGUUUAUAGUAAUUGCUAUGAAAUAUUUGUUCAGUUCACUCUCUGAGCUCCUAUAAGAAUGCCCCCUUCCCUUUAUUUAGUAUGUCAUGUUUUUUUUUGUUGUUGUUGUUGAAACUUGGAGAUUUAAAAUACUGUACUGGAACUGCGGUUAGUGCUUUUACCCACCUUGCACCAGAGACCUAGCCGCUGUUAACUAUGCAGUCACUUGGUUGUUUACUGAUCUGAAUGAAUUUCUUCUGAGAAGUCUAUCCGCCCUGCAGUGUGUAAAGCCACUGAUGAACUUGCUGAGGUCUGCCCUCUUGUUUAUUCUUCUUUUAACUCUUGGGUUGCACAAGCCACUUACAAAGGCUGUGUUAAGCCACCGAAGCCAGAGUUUUAUGUUUUAGCACUGAUGGUUCUGCCUUGGUGUUUCCCAUCACAGUUCAGGAGUUUAUAUUUUUUGCUCCCUAUUCAUCCAGAAAUUAGGAGUUUGGCAGUUUUCUCUUUGAUAGCUUUGGAGAACAAAAAGCCUUUGGGGCUUGUGUGUAGUCCUCCAGACUAUCAGGGGUAAGCUUGAUUUUUAUUUUAAGCUUGGUUUCCCUGGAGUCCCCUUGGGCUAGAGCAGGUUAUUAUUCAGUCAAUGUUUAGCCAGAACUGCAUCAUCAAACCUCUUGUGCCCAUGAUUUAUUUCCCCUGUGUUGAUAGGUCAGUGUGCAGUUCAGGGAAUGCUCCAGUCUGCCCUAAGGCCUGAGCUGAUUGCUGUUGAGUGGGUGUAGCCUAACAUCUAAACUCCUAGAGUUUACUGAUACUAGGGGCCCUCUUUGUUGUCUGUCUCCUGGUUUUCGCUACAAAAAUGGCUGUUUUAUUUGCAUCAUUGAACUAUCAGUUUUCGUCCUCUUAAAUUUUCUUUACCAAACUUUCCUUUAAAAAAAAAUACGACCCUUAGACACAGAAUGCCCUAGUCCUCAUUCCAAAUGUUCAGGCCCUCAAACACAUCUAGUGGUUCAUUGUCUUUAUGGCCAUCCUAGGUCCUGUGGGCAGAACUUCCAUGCUACUGCUCAGAGUUAGGGAUAACAACUUUUUUUCCAUCAGUGACAUCCUAUAUCCACAUGAGUGCUGAAGGGUAUCAGCUCCUGCCUGGUCUUCUUGGUAUGCUCUUCCUUGUGUGCAAUCUCUGCCUGUGAGUGAGCUGGGGUUAGAAUAGUCAGGGCCUUUACAUUGUCAAUCUGCCAUGCCUAAGAGCAGAGCUUGUGUCCUUUAUGGGGAAUGUGGGUGGAGGGAGAGAGACUCAGUCCUCUUGAUCACAUGACUUCUUGUCACAUAGCUUCUGCAAAGAUUGGGGAAGAUGAGAGAUGGCAGCUUACCUGCAGCUCUUUGAGUAAAUCAGAUGUAGUCUGGGAACUGAGUUGGGGGGGGGUCUGUCUCUUGGCUCUUCUUGCUCAGAACAGUAUAUAUAGGGUGGGACUUUUGGAAUGUAGAGCAGGGCGUGGGGGUUAUGAGGGAAUGGGUCAUAGCUCAGGUAUCUCAGACUAUCAUUGUCCCUUCUGAGAGUGGAAUUACUGGCUUGCCAAUUGCUAUAUGCCUUUGGAACAAUUUCUGGAGACUUUAAAUGAUUGGGCUGUUUAUUUAUUUAUCUUUUUUUUGAAGAAUAUUACAAAUGUGUUUAUUUUUAUGUUUUUUCAUCUUUAUUUUAUUUUAUUUUUUUCCUAAUUUUUUAUUAGGUAUUUUCUUCAUUUACAUUUCAAAUGCUAUCCCGAAAGUCCCCCAUACCUCCCUUCCCGCUCUCCUACCCACCCACUCCCACUUCUUGGCCCUGGUAUUCCCCUAUACUGAGGCAUAUAAAGUUUGCAAGACCAAGGGGCCUCUCUUUCCAAUGAUGGCCGACUAGGCCAUCUUCUGCUACAUAUGCAGCUAGAGACACAGCUCUGGGGGGUACUGGUUAGUUCAUAUUGUUAUUCCACCUAUAGAGUUGCAGACCCCUUUAGCUCCUUGGGUACUUUCUCUAGCUUCUCCAUUGGGGGCCCUGUGAUCCACCUAAUAGCUGACUGUGAGCAUCCACUUCUGUGUUUGCUAAGUCCUGGCAUAACCUCACAAGAGACAGCUAUAUAAGGGUCCUUUCAGCAAAAUCUUGCUAGUGUGUGCAAUGGUGUCAGCGUUUGGAGGGUGAUUAUGGGAUGGAUCCCUGGGUAUGGCAGUCUCUAGAUGGUCUAUCCUUUUGUCUCAGCUCCAAACUUUGUCUCUGUAACUCCUUCCAUGGGUGUUUUGUUCCCAACUCUAAGAAGGGUCAAAGUGUCCACACUUUGGUCUUCAUUCUUCUUGAGUUUCAUGCGUUUAGCAAAUUGUAUCUUAUAUCUUGGGUAUCCUAAAUUUCUGGGCUAAUAUCCACUUAUCAGUGAGUACAUAUUGUGUGAGUUCCUUUGUGAUUGGGUUACCUCACUCAGGAUGAUGCCCUUCAGGUCCAUCCAUUUGCCUAGGAAUUUCAUAAAUUCAUUCUUUUUAAUAGCUGAGUAGUACUCCAUUGUGUAAAUGUACCACAUUUUCUGUAUCCGUUCCUCUGUUGAGGGGCAUCUGGGUUCUUUCCAGCUUCUGGCUAUUAUAAAUAAGGCCGCUAUGAACAUAGUGGAGCAUGUGUCCUUCUUAGCGGUUGGGACAUCUUCUGGGUAUAUGCCCAGGGUAUUUAUCUAUUUACUUACUUGUUUAAUCUCUGUUGUUUUUAGCAGUUAUUACCAGUUGUAUUGCUCUUUGAGUGGUUCUUCAGAGGUCUUAACUCUUCCAUUCUGAAAGUAUUUCUCACAGACUAGGAAACAGCUCCCCACCACCGCUUCUUUUCAUUUUUAGUCUUCAUUGUCUCCAAAGAAAUCCCAAAUCAUAGUUAUAAUCCAGGAUCCUGACUCUCAAUAUGAGUAACUUAGGUCUUACUCGUCUGCACUGUUUAUUUUUCAGACAUAUAGACACCAUCCAAAACAUUUCUUGUAUCUUCUUAACUGUUGUGGCUUGAUGAAUCUGAACCAAGUUCAGUAUCAUUUCCUUCAAGAAUUACCUCAUCCUUUGGUACUUGAGAAACAGAACAAGCAAUACCUGUCCUCAUCUGACCCCCACAGAUGUAAUAUUUUUUCUUUUUUAUUUAUUCCCUAAAGUGUUAUUUAUUUCUUAAAAUUAAUUUUUAUAUUUGUUGAAUUUCUGGGCAUAUAUAUUCUGCCUGCAUGUAUGUAUGUACACCACAUGUGUGCCUGGUGCCCUCGAGUAUCAGAAGAUGUUAAGCCUCCUGGAACUGGAGUUAUGGAUGACAGUAAGCCACCAUGUGGGUGCUGGGAGUUGAAUCUGGAUCCUCUGGAAGAGCAGUAAGUACUCUGAGUCAUUUAUCCAGCCCUCCAAUAAUUUUUCAGCCAAGAAAAUUUGGAUUUCAACCAGAAACCCAUUCUCCUGAAUAGUGAUGUUGAUGGGGUAAGUGAGCACACUUUGUUUCUUUAUAACAAAGCCCUGCAUAACAUCCUUGAACACGUUCUGAACAUGACUGCAGACAGGUCAUACAGGAGCCAGUUUUGUUCUGUUUCCCCAUUAUUUGUCAACCAAUGGCCUCUUCUUUUUCUUUCCAAGGAAAGUCAGAUCUCUACUCAUAUGACUGAAGUCCCUCUGGAAGGACUCUCUGGGCUCUUCAGAAUAAGUGUCCCUCCUUUUAGAGUUUUGUCAACAUUUGUUGCCCAGCCACGGCUCUGAAGGCUUGCACUUUUGCUCUUCCAAUGUCUCCUCUAAAACGGAAGCCCGGCAUGCACACUUCUGUAGGAAAACAACAGACUGGCUUUUGGUGAUCGCAGAAAGGCAUGUGAAGAUACUUUGACUACUCAUGCAAAGGGGAAGGCAGCCUUCUAGUUUGUAACUGGUUUCUUGAAUGGGAAGACCCACCAUCCACAAAGGCCUUAUGCAGACCCUUGCCAGAUGAUGGAAUCAUGCUGUUGGACUCCUCAACCUUCAAUACUGAUUUUUGAGAGGCUGGACUAAAGAAUGCCUCAAGAACUGCAAAGUGAUGCCCACUGUCUGACCCCUAGGACAUGCUCUGCCAAGGUUCGCCUUUCUGCCAUGUAUUCUUCACACUAAAAUCCCAAGUUCUAUUACUGAAAGAAGAGAACAGAUAAGCCAAGAAAUGUGGCAGCUUUGGGCUUCAAUUGUGGCUGAUCUUUGGCAAGUAACUUUUUUUUUUUGUCAGUAAAAGAGGGAUAAUGCCUACCUACCAGGGUUGCUAUGAGACAUGCAUGAAUAUAUGUGAAAGACCUAGCAUAUACAGAAAUAAUGGGUGUUUAAAGAAUGUCAAAGUGGCUAAGGCAGUAAAAGCCAUUCUAGAGCAAGCCUUGUGACUGUAGUUUGAUCCCUGGAACUACUGAAGGUAGAAGGAAAGAAUCAGUCCCACAGAGUUGUCCUUUUACUACUACAGGCAUGCUAUAGCACACACCCUCCAAUUCACACACACACACACACACACACACACAGAGAGAGAGAGAGAGAGAGAAACUUAAAAACUUAAUGUUAAACACUUUUUCAUCGACAUUUUGUAAAUCCUACCUAUAUAAAGUAUUUCAGUAAUAGAAUAACUCCCUGCAUACUUGAUAAAAUGUAAAAUUCAAAUAUUCAUGUUGUAGCAUUUGUCUUUCUUUAUAGCUAUCUUUAUUUAUAUAAGGGGAUAAUAUUUCAUUUAGAUAUGGUUUUAAUGUUUUAGUCCACGAGCUAUCAGUUUAAACUACUGAGGGAGUUUGGCUGACUUCCUUUUUUUUUAAUUGGGUAUUUAUUUCAUUUACAUUUCCAAUGCUAUCCCAAAGUCCCCCACAUGCUCUCCUCCCACUCCCCUACCCACCCACUCCCACUUCUUGGCCCUGUCGUUCCCCUGUACUGAGGCAAAUAAAGUUUGCAUGACUAAUGGGCCUCUCUUUCCACUGAUGGCCAACUAGGCCAUUUUCUGAUUCAUAUGCAGCUAGAGAUACGACUCCAGGGGGGUACUGGUUAGUUCAUAUUGUUGUUCCACCUAUAGGAUUGCAGAUCCCUUUAGCUCCUUGGGUACUUUCUCUAGCUCCUCCAUUGGGGGCCCUGUGAUCCAUCCAAUAGCCUCCACUUCUGUGUUUGCUAGGCCCCGGCAUAGCCUCACAAGAGACAGCUCUAUCUGGGUCCUUUCAGCAAAAUCUUGCUAGUGUAUGCAAUGGUGUCAGCGUUUGGAAGCUGAUUAUGGGAUGGAUCCCUGGAUAUGGCAGUCUCUAGAUGGUCCAUCCUUUUGUCACAGCUCCAAACUUUGUCUCUGUAAUUCCUCCCAUGGGUGUUUUGUUUCCAAUUCUAAGAAGGGGCAAAGUGUCCACACUUUGGUCUUCGUUCUUCUUGAGUUUCAUGCAUUUAACAAAUUGUAUCUUAUAUCUUGGAUAUCCUAAGUUUCUGGGCUAAUAUCCACUUAUCAGUGAGUACAUAUUGUGUGAGUUCUUUUGUGAUUGGGUUACCUCACUCAGGAUGAUGCCGUCCAGGUCCAUCCAUCUGCCUAGGAAUUUCAUAAAUUCAUUCUUUUUAAUAGCUGAGUAGUACUCCAUUGUGUAGAUGUACCACAUUUUCUGUAUCCAUUCCUCUGUUGAGGGGCAUCUGGGUUCUUUCCAGCUUAUGGCUAUUAUAAAUAAGGCUUCUAUGUCCUUCUUACUGGUUGGAACAUCUUCUGUAUAUAUGCCCAGGAGAGGUAUUGCGGGAUCCUCCGGUAGUACUAUGUCCAAUUUUCUGAGGAACCGCCAGACUGAUUUCCAGAGUGGUUGUACAAGCCUGCAAUCCCACCAACAAUGGAGGAGUGUUCCUCUUUCUCCACAUCCACGCCAGCAUCUGCUGUCACCUGAAUUUUUGAGCUUAGCCAUUCUGACUGGUGUGAGGUGGAAUCUCAGGGUUGUUUUGAUUUGCAUUUCCCUGAUGAUUAAGGAUGUUGACCAUUUUUGGCUGAAUUCCUAAAGCGUCUGGUAUAGCACCAUGUUCCGUUUCUCAAUUAGGCACUCAUUGGGUACCCAAGAAGCAGUAUUGAGGCACAAGAUGCAACAGGUACUUGGUUGAAAAGAAUUUUACUAAUGCAUUUUUUUUGUUUCUUUGCUUGUUUACAGACAAGGCCUCACUCAUGUAGCUUAGAGCAACCCAGAGUUCUCGGUAUAAGCCCAGGUUAGCCAUAAACUCACAGUCUGUUUGCUAAUCUCCUAAGUGCUGACAGUGCUUGGUGUAGUGAGUGACUGAGCCCAAGCAGAAAGUUGCCAUCUAGUACAGUACAGAGCUCAGUGUUGCCAUAGUUGUUACAUAUAUAUAUAUAUACAUAUAUAUAUAUAUAUAUAUAUACACACACACACACACACACACACACACACACAUAUAUAUAUAUAUAUAUGUGAAUGAUGAGGUUGAACACUUAGAUAAUCAGGACAUUGUCAAUCUCAGUGAAAAUGGCAACACCAAGGUAAUGAACAUGACACAAUUAUUUCAUAAACAUAUUCCAGUUAGCAUUGAUAAAUACACUAGAAACAAAGCAAAAAUAGAGAAAAUUUAGUAAUAAAAGAAAGUAAUAAAUGUAUGGACAGUUUAGAACUGAAAAUACAAUAACCUAAAUAAACAUACUAGGUAAACCAAAUACGGUAAUUGGGAUGAAAAAGAAAAAAAAUUGUGAACUUGAAAGCAAAAUAGUAUGCAGUCUGAACAACAGAGAAAAUAAACUGGGGGGAAGUUUCAGUUUAGUGGGACAGGACCAUUAGAGUCCCACAGAGAAAGAAGGGAAUAGUAUAAAAACAUAAUAUUGGGUGGUGGUGGUGCAUACCUUUAGCCCCAGCACUUAGAAGGCAGAAGCAGGUGGAUCUGAGGCCAGCCUGGUCUACAGAGAAUCCUAGGACAGCCAGGGCUACGCAGAGAGAUCCAGUCUCCAAAGACAACAAAACAAAACAACAACAAGAACCAUAUAAUGGAAAACAUUUUGAAAGCAGUUAGAGAAAAACCACACGCUACUCUUAUAGGAAUAAUAGCUUGAGUGACGGGAUUUUUCAUCGAAAGCUAUAGAUACAAGAAGAGAGAGGUUGAUUUUUUAAGAAAUAAGACUGCCAACACAAAAAAUCCAAAACAACAUGAAGGCAGGAGGGAGAAACAAAACAAAACAAUAACAACAAAAACAAACUAAAAUGGCAGAGUUAAGCCCUGAUGUGUCAACAGCUACACUAUAAUAAUAAUAAUAAUAAUAAUAAUAAUUCCUAUUGUACUGUUUUCUGAUUUGUGUUUAUUUGUCUUGAAACAUUAACUUUUUGAAUAAAAAUAAUGUAUAAAAUAGUCUACAAAACAGCAGUCAAGCAUACCAGGUAUUAUAGCACAUGCCUUUAAUUCUAGCAGAGGCAGGCAGCUCUCUUGAGUUUGAUGCCAGCCUGGUCUACAAAAUGAGUUUCAGGACAACCAGAACUACAUAGAGAAACUCUGUCAAAAAAAAAAAAAAACAACAAAAAACAACCAAAGAAAAAUGUGUGUGUGCGCGCCCAUGUACAGCAACAACAAGCAACUGGGGACUUACAGUUCUAUAUCAAACAAAUUUCCGGCUAGAAAGGUGGCUCAGUGCAUAAAUAUGCUUGUCAUGUAAGCCUGGUGACAUAAAUUCUAUCUCUGGAACUCAUACAACAGUGAAAGGAGAGAACCAACUCCACAAAGUUGUCCUACACACACACACAUAUAAAAUUAAAAAAAUUCAUCCCCACAACUCUAAAGAAAUGUUCCAAAUGUUUAAACUAAAGAAUAAAGAUUGGCAGUUACCAUGGCCCAAUUAUAUUCAGAAAUAAAACAACUCAGUUAAAAUAUAAUGACAUCUCAGUCUGAGGCCACUGAUUCUAUUCCUACCCCCACCCCACUCCCCAAAAUGUUUAAAUAUAAUGACAUAGGAAGAUUCAAGUAAAACAGCACAUUUACUCCCCUGUAAUCCUAUCCUGUGUAUAGACUGGUUUAACCAUCAUCACAGAAUAUAGAAUCCAUCCAUUCCCGCAGAAGUCUUUGCUGUACUGUUUACCACAGGUGACACAUUCUCUGCUAUCGUUUCAUCUCUCAUCCAUGAAAAUCAUCUUCAUUUCUAUGAUCUUUUUUACUAUUUAGACAUGAUAUAAAUAGAACUGGGCAGUAUAUAACAUUCUUAUUUUAUCAUAUUUAAUUAGUAUAUAAAUUAGUGGGUUUUAGUGUGACAUUUCUACACAUAUAGAUCAUUAUCCUUUGUUUUCAGUGUCCUUGCUGCCAUGCGCCCUUCUGCUCGUCUCUUCCUCCUCCAAGUAGCCCCUCCUUCUGUUUUCAUAUCAGAUAUAUUCCAUUAAAAUAUCUUUUAUUUUCUUUUCCCCACUCCCUUUAGACCUCGCUCUCCUCUACAGUUCCCUUUUCCCAUGUCCUACAUAUAUGCAUAUACAUGCAUAUACACAUAUGCACAUUCACACAAAUUUACAUUAUGCAAGAGAGAAAAAUGUAUAUAUAUUAUAAAUAUAAUGCAUAUUUGAGUUUGGCUUAUUUCAUUUAACAUAAAGGUUACCAGUUCCAUUCUCUUUUCUGCCAGUAUUAUCAUUUCAUUCUCUUUUACAGCUGAAUACAAUUUUUUAUGUACAUAUGCCACAUUUUCUAUAGUCAUCUAUCAAUGGAAAUAUUAGCUAUUGUGAACAGACCAGCUAUGAACAUGGGUGUACAAGUAUCAUUGUGGCAUGUUGAUCUGGGGUCCUUUGCUAUGAACAUGGGUGUACAAGUAUCAUUGUGGCAUGUUGAUCUGGGGUCCUUUGCUUUACAUAUAGGGGUGGUCUAUCUAUCUAGGCCCAAUAGUAGUUGCAUUUCUGAUUUUUAAAAGGAACCUCUAUACUGACUUCUGUAUUGACUGCAGCAUUUAACCAUUCCCAUCACUCACAUUCUAACCAGCACUUCUUCUUACUGGUUUUCUUAAGGGAGAGCCAUUCUGCAUGGAGUGAGAUGGAAUCGUGAAAUGUUUCAAUUUGCAUUUUCCUGCUGGCUAAAGACAUUAAACAAUUUCAAAAACCAUAUUAGACAUUUGCAAUUUUUUGGUGUAUAUGUAGAGAUUCAUGUGUUGGGGUGUGGAGUGUAGCCCAGGGGUCAACCUUGGGUAUCUUUCCUUUGUAGCUCUCAUUCUGUAUUUCUGAGACAGCCUCACUGGGCCUUGGACUCAUUGAUUUGGUUAGGAUGGCUUGUGAGUGAGCCCCAGUGGUCUGCAGUGCUGGAAGUACACACAUAUGCCAUAAUACUUGGCUUUUUAUGUGGGCACUGAGGAUAAAACCUGGGUCCCCGAGUUUACAUGGCAAGUCCUUUAUCAACUGAGCUAUCUCUCUAGUUCUGCACUUCUUUUGAGACAACACAUUUAUUGGCUGGAUUAUUUGUGGUUGCUUUUCUAAGUUUAAAUUUUAGAGCUCACUAUAGAGUGUAGCUAUUAAGUCCCUGUCGGGUGUGUAAUUGGGGAAGGUUUUUCUCUCACCUCACAGACUGUCUUUUCACUCUGGUGAUUAUUAUUUUAUUAUGUAGAAGCUUCAUGAUUUCAUAUAAAAUUUCAUAUAAUCCUAUUAGUCAAUUUUGGGGCUCUUUCUUGUGCUAUUGGAGUCCUUUGGUUAAAUUCUUGCCUAUGCCAAUAAUUUGAAAUGUUUUACCUUUGUUUUCCUCUGGUAGUUUAAGAGUUUCAGGUUUAUCAAUAAGGUUUUUGGCUCAUUUCUAAUUGAUUUUUAUAUAAGAUGAGAGAUGUGGAUCUAAUUUCCUUCUUCUACAUGUAGAUAUCGAGUUUUCCAAAUACUACUUAUUAAAGAGGCUUUUUCUUUUCUCCCCCCACCCCAGUGCAUGUUUUUUGACAGUUUGCCAAAGAUUAGGUGGCUGUAGUUGUGUGAGGUUAUUUUGGGGUCCUCAAUUUUAUUCUGUUGCUCUAGGUUUCUGCUUUUGUGCUAAUGCCACGCUGCACUUGUUAGUAAAGCUCUGUAGUACAAUUUAAGGCCAGAUCUCCUGAGAGUAGCUAUUUUUGAUCAGUGUAACUCCGUUUAGGCCCAUCCAAGUUAUUCCACACAUCAAUAGUUCAUUGGGUUUUAUUGCUGAAUAGUAUUCCAUAGCAUAGAUGGAUCAUACUCUUUUUAACCAUUUAUAAAUUACAAGACUUUUGGGUUACUUCCAAUUUGGGCUAUUAAAGUUACACAUUUAUUUAUAGUUUAUGUGGAUGUAGGUUUUCAUUUCUCUGGGAACAAUGCCCAGGAAUGUAAUUGCUAGAUUAUAUGGUAAAAAAAUUGUUGUGUUUUUAAAGGAAUAGACAUUAACACAUCCUUUGAUUACUGUUUACAUAUAUUUUUUAGAUGUUAAUUUAAAAUGUUAAUUGACAGAUAAUAGCAGUAUAUAUUUACAGACACAGUAGUAUUACAAUCUGAUACAUGUACACAAUGUGUAAUGAUAAAAUCAGGGUAAUUAGCAUUUCUGGCUCCUUCAACAUUCAUCAUUUCUUUGUAGUGAGAGCAUUCCAAUUCCUCUCUUGUGGUUCUUUAUAAAUAUAUAAUAAAUUGUUGUGAACUGAAGUCACCCUACUGUGCUGUUGUUGGCUGAACAAAGGAAGAUGAAAAGCCUUGCUUUUUCAAACCAGUGCUGCAACAUCUCUUUUUAUAGAACCUGAAAAUGAUAAAGCUGAAGCAUCAGUGAGGGGUCUGACUCAUGGAAGGAAGGGAGUCACGUCAAAGAAAUUGAGUGAAAUUAUAAGUAAGAAAUGGAAAUAUGAUAAAAGUUAUUUUGUUACUAAUUUACCAUCUGUGUCAUAUGAAACAUAUUUCUGAACAUAUAAUACAUCAUUUAAGUUAGAGCAUUUUCAGACCAUUAAUAAAGUAAGAUGAAUACACACACACACACACACACACACACACACACACACACACACAUACACACACACACAUAUAUAUAUAUACACACAUAUAUGAAACAGAGUUUAAUUCAUUGGUUCAGGAUGGCUUAGCCCAGGCUGAACCUGAACUUGAAGCAAUCAUCUUGCCCCAACUUUGUGUGUGCUUAGAUUCUACAUGUAAGCUACCAUGCCUGGUUAGAAGCUGAAUAUUUUAAGUACGGAUAUUAUAAACUCAUUAAAGCUGGGCAUGGUAGCUCAUGAGACAAAGGCAGGAGGGUCUGUGUCAGAUCCAAGGUCAUCCUGGUCUACAUAGCAAGUUUCAGACCAAUCGGGGCUAUGUAGUACAACUCUGACUUAAUAGAAAAAAAAAAACCCAAUAACUAAUUAAAUAAAUAACCACUAAAAAUUGUUUGUUAGCAUUUUUUGAACUAGAACUGAAAAAGCCAUUGAAGCAUCUUAUAGACACGCCAUGGAGAACUGCAGGCUUAGAGGACAACAGAGCCUUGAACAGUUGACAGUGUUCAUUGUCCACUGGAAGAGAAGUUAGUGAAAAUACUCAAGGCACUGUCUUUUCUCCGUGACUCAGUAGCUUAAUGAUCGAAACAUUUAACUACAAACAUGGAUACUUCACUAGCUACCCAUUUUCUGAACUGUGCCCUCACCAACAGACCUAUGUCAGUGCGGCCUGAGCUGAUGUUUUGCUUAUAUCACAUGGCAUCAGUAGUAAAUAAUCCUAACAGAAGGCUUCUUUUAUGUGAAUGAUUAGGCACAAACAGAAGUGGUGCUACUCUAUUUAAAGUGCUGAAUAACUUGUUUGAAGCUCAUGGCUUAUGUUGGAACACUGUUGUUUAUACUCGAAUGGCACUUCAAAAGCAACGGUGAGGAAAACUGUUGGCACCCAUGUAUGGAUUCAGGCAGUAGCAUCAAGCAUAGCACUGGGGACUCUGUUCUUUACUGUCACAAACUCCUAAAAAUUCCAACUUUGCUUGAGAAUGUCUUUGCUGAAGCAGUAAAAUUGAUAAGUUGUUAAAACUUGCUGCUGGAUUUGGUGCUCAUAGGAAGUAUGAUGAGGUGCUUUUGGUAUAGACUGUCAUGCAAUGGCUUGGCUGUGAUUAAGCUGUGAGCACUGACUAGCUAGUUUUCAUGGAAUACUACAUGUGCUCAAAAGGACAACUGACAGAUUAUGAUGAUUCAACAUUAUGAUUAAAUAUUUGGAAUCUGGCAAAUGUUUUGUCAAAAAUGAAGUGAGCCUAUGAUUUUUUUGGUAAACAACUGAUGUGUUUGUUGUCAAUGAUAGCAAAUUUGUGGUUAUAAGCAAAACUAUGAUUUCUGAAAACUUGAUUCUGGCAUUGUGAGCUUGACAGCAUUUCAAAACUUAAGUUUCCCCCAGUGAAUACAGUGAUGAUAUCAAUGUUUUUAUGCUGAAUAAAAUGUAUGAACAUUUUGAAUGCUUUCCUAACCCAGUGAACUGGUAUUUUCCAAAUACUAUGUGAAGGGGGGGGGUGUCAAAUAUCCAUUUCAAAAUACAAAUUUAACCUAAUUGUAUGUAAAAAUUCCCUGAGAUGCUUUCAGGCCCCAUGCUGCAUUUACAUUAAAGACAUUACCAUUUGUAGAGUUUUGUUUUGGUGUAGUCUCAAGGAAUGCAUAUAAUGAUCAGAAAAGGUUAUUAAAAACAUUCCUUCCCUUUCUAGCCAACAUCGCACCCUUUUCAUACCUGUGAAGUUCUGCUUUUGUCAUAUACUUGAAGUCAAACCAUGUCAACAUACUUUGAAUGAAGAAGCAGUGGGUUACUGAUUGACUCGUUUGGAGCAUGGAUGGAGCAUCUCUACCCUAUAUGGACAUAUGGCCUCCUGCCAGGACCGAGAUACCAGAAGUUUUGUCAUACAAAAUGCAUAGAAGUAAACAAUAUUUUAUAAAACUAGUCUAAAAAUUUGGUACAUGAAAAGGAUGGACUUCACCAGGAAGAGCUCUAUAAAAUGACAGGUGACCCCACCCACCUUCUACAGCAGGAAGAGCUAAAUGAACUCAGAGAGUUUCCAUGUUCAAACCUAAAUCAAAAAUUCCAUAUCUAGGAGGUAAAUUCUUGUUUUCUGUCUAUAAAACUACAAAUUAAAUCUUGAAAAUUAAGAGAUUAUUUUCUGCCCAAAUCUCAGCUGCACAUUCACACCCACAAUAGCUUGUUUAUUGGAGAGGUCAUGUGAUUGAUUUGGAUGAAGCUAAAUGGUUUAUUUUUUAAAAUGACUUCUGCAAUGUCCUACAAUCAAGGUUUCCAAGAACUCUUAGGGAUGGUACCUUGUCACUGUAUGUAACAGUUUUCACACUUCCAUGAGAUACUUUACAGACAACAUAGUCACUGGCUAGGGAGAGACACAAGUUUAAAGUCUGGUUUCCAUGUUUGGUUGAUGUACCUGGGAGGCCUGCUCUUUACUGAGGUGAAGCAGAGGGAGGGGUGGAUCUAGGGGAGAGAGGAAGUAGGGAGGAGACUGGGGGAGGGGAAGGAGGGGAAACUACAAUUGGGAUGCAAUAUAUGAGAAUUUAAAAAAAUCAAAAAACAAAAAACAAAGUUUGGUUUCAUCCCUUUCUGGAUGUCUGACCACUUUUAUAGCAUGUAGGCUGUGACAAAGUUGAAGUGACACAAUGCAUACUUUUAGUAGAUGCAGUGCUACUCCUGUCCCAGUUAAUAAGUACACCCUAGAAACCAAGCUGCGGCUUACAGCGUUUUGCUUUAUUUCCUGUCGCAGUGCCUAGUGUAGUGUCUGUUAUACAGUAGAUGAUACAUUUUUGUAGAAUGAAUGAAUAAAAUAGUUUUUUUCCCAUUUAAACAUGCACACAUACCCAGAAUAGAAAUCCAUGUCAGAUGUUUAGCACAGCACCUGGGCACACAGGAAGCUCCUCCCCUCACCCUCCUCCUCCAUGUUAACUAAUGUUUCAGAAACUAUAAAAAGUGCGGAUCCACCGAGUUCUUUGGCAGGAAGGUCAGAGUGUCUUUGGAGAGGUAAAUGUUGGUCUUAGACUCACAGGAACUAAUGCUGCAUUUAAAACACCGAGGACUUCUAGUUCCAAGGUGACGCUCAAGUCAGACAAUAGUUCUUGUGCUAUAAACACACACUUGGAAGACACUAUAUUAAGAAUCAGUGGUGUGAUUUUUUUCCUGUUCUUUAUUGGAUGUGAGUGACACUGAGUACAGAUGCACAAAAUACUCUACCAAAGAAUAAAAGUUUAGGGUUAGACAUGGUAUUCCUUUAACUACACCGAUGUUACAUGUUAACAUGAAGGAGGAGUGUGAGGGGAGAAGCUACAUUGAAACCCAGGUGCUAUGCUAAAUAACAAGUACUCUCUAGGUUAGCUACCUGGUCUAGCCCAGUAACAAGACCACAAAUGUUCUCAAGAAGCAAGUGAAGCUCUAAAAAAAAUUAAUUUAAAGCUGGGUGAUGGUGGAGCACACCUUUAAUUGUAGCACUUGGGAGACAGAGGUAGAUAGAUCUCUGAGAGUUUGAAGCCAACCUGGUCUACAGAGAGAAGCCUUGACUCAAAAAACCAAAUCAAACCAAACCAAAAUAAUAACAAAAUCACUAACCAACCAACCAGUCAAAUGAACAAACAAAUAAACAAACAAACAAAACACAUCAAUUUCAUUUCCCAAAUGCAAAAAAGAGAGAAACCCUUUAAAUUACAAUUAAAUGGAGAGAGGUAAAAACAUUAAGGUAGGGUGGGACUGGAAAGAUGGCUCUUGCAGAGAACUGGAGCUAGGUUCCCACCACCCUUGUGAGACACAUCCCAACUGCCUGGAACUCCAGCCACGGAGGAGUCACAUCUUCUGGCCUCCACAGGCACCUGCAGUCAUAUAUACAUACCCAUAUACAUGCAUACACAGUUAGAAAUAAAAGUAAACUUUAAAAGGAGAUUAUGAGUUUAAAAAUCUCCUAUGAGACUCAUAUGACAUUAUGAGUCUGUAAGUGACUAAAUUUUUCUUUAUGUCAGUGGUCUUUGAUUGAGACCAAAGGUUUACUGCAGUUUUUAGCUACAUAAUAUAAGCCACAGGACAUAGGUGAAUAAUAGCCCAAGGACCAACUAUGGGUAGAUUUUUAUUUGAAUGAAUAACACACACACCAUAAGUUCACUAGAAUAAGAAUAUUUCUCAGGAUAGGUUGACAUUUCUUCUUAGCAAAUCUUCCUAAGUGUCAUAGAGUGUUACUGAAUGUGAGCUCCAGGCUAACAGAAGCUUUCCUACGUCCUCUUACUGGAGAAUCUGGUCAACAGCAUCUUCUGUUGGUGAUAUAUUUAUACAGUGGCUGGGUGAUCUCAAAGACAUGCAGUUCAAUAUUCUUAAUAAAACACUUUUACUUGACAGGGUCUCAUGUAUUUCUGGAUGGCCUCAAACUCCCUUUGUAGCAAAGGACAACCUGAGUUCCUGAUCCUCCUACCCCUACCACCCAAGUGCUAUGUGCAAUGUGUGACCGUGCCUGCUUUAUGCAGUGCUGGGAGUGAAAUCCUAGGCUUUAUGUAUGCAGAUAACAAAGAUGCUGCCUCUUUCCAGAAUUAUCUUCCACAGUUCUGUACUUUCUACUUCCACUGGCCUCACAUGUGAAACAACUACAUCUCCUUGUCGGCUGCAUUAUUAUUCUCGUAAUGAACUCUCAUCAGAUUUUUCCCUUUUGAAAAUGAGCAGUAAUAAGCUAUUUUGGAAUCAGCUGAAAAUACAGUUUGGCUCUGAUAGUAUACAACAAAAAUAUCAGCCAACAUUUAUCAAGUGCUAGCCUGUGCCAAGAACUGUACUAAAUGCUUUCAAUGGUGUUGACUCAAUCAAUUCUCACAACAGCGAUGUGAGAGAGAAAGAAGCAAGGAAGAAUUCCCACAGCUUCCAAAGACUGGAUGCACCUCAACCUAUCUCCAAGGUCAGAGUCAACAGUGUCUGCCUUGCCUGGUCUUGGUCUAAUGGAGUUCAGGAGGCUAGCUAACUCUCACUGAGAGAAGCAGCAAGAUUAAGUCACAUCCACUCUUCUGUGCUUAUUACUAAAGCAGCAAUGUACAGCUCCUCAUUUUCAUGAGGUCUGGAUCAAGCCACUUUCCUAGCUGCAACCGUGGCAUUGAAGAGCUCCCGCACCCAAGCAUGUAGCUGUUACUGCCCAAGGCUGUCCUUAAUAAGGUGCACUCAUAUUUUCAAACAAGGUACAUUUUUUUUUCCAUUUACUUCCAGUAGCAGCUGAUCAAACCUCUUAAGCUGUUCUGGGAAUAUGGUAUUGGUACAUCUAUUGUUGCUUCAUUAAAUGAUGCCAUUUGUGCCAUUAUGGGUAAUUUCUGUUUGAGAGCAGAGAUGGUUACAAGGAGAUCAGCAGCAGGGGGAGAACUCAACUGAUUGGUCAGGGGUGAGCUGCACUGGAGAGGGAAGUAAGACGGCUUUCUCAGAAAUUAGCAAUGGCCAAUUUUCAGUUAUUUUCUCUUAAAAAAUCCUUUGCCCAUCUAAUUCUAAUAUAUAGUACCUUGCUCUCCUCCCUAGACAGCACUCUAAGUCCUGUUUUUAAUGCUUUAUCCUACAUGCAAAACUACAAAGCUCAUAUGGUACCACACAAAACACAGAAAACAAAAUUCACUGAAAUCCCCUUUAGUUUGUGUGGAUGUAUAGACGAGUUAGUAUAAAACAUCUGCAUUUUACAAGUAGCAAUACCAAGGUAUGCUUUGUGAUAGAUGUGUUCUUGAAGAAUCAUGUGACAACUGAUGACAUCAAUCAAAUCUUAAAUUAUUGGGAAUGUUAAUUUGAGGUACUCAAAGGGUCCCUCUAUAAAAUGAAUGCUUUUGGCCAUAAUUUUAUAUUUAUCACUUGGCAAGUAGCAUGCCAGUUUUUUUCUAAUUUCCAGUCUUUUUAAAAUUUUGAAAUACACCUGUAUUUGAUUUGUAAGACAAACUCACCAUUGAAACACACUUGCAUUUCCUAGUUUUCUGGGUAUAAGGAUUUAGAGAAGGAGAUUCAGUGUUGUAUGUAUUGAUAAUUUUCUUAUUAAUUUUCAUACAAUAUUCUUUUCCUCCCCCAACUCCUCCCAGAUCCUCCCCAUCUCCUACCCAUACAGCUUCAUGCUCUUACCUGCUGAAUGAGUAUAUUAGCCUUCUCUCUUAAAGCACCUAUGCCAUCUAUGCCAGAUAAGCCUUGCCCUCUUACUGAUUUUGUUUUAUACACAGAUACUGAUUACUGCUUCGUGCGUAAUAAAUAUUUUCCGCAAGGUAAGGCAUGUAACAGCCAUAAAACAAACAAAACAAAAACCUGAAAAUCAAAAUAACCAACUCAGUAAGACAAAAAUAUACCAGAACAUAUGCAUGUGCGCGCGCACACACACACACACACACACACACACACACACACACACACAGAGUCCAUUUUGGGUUGGCCAACUAUUCCUGGGUCUGUUCUGGAGUGUGGUUGAUAUGCCUAAUGACACUCCAUUGGAGAAAACUGGUUUACAGCUCCCAGAAGACAUCAAUUGCAUAUAGCUUCUUGGCGAGUGGUGGGACACUGUGCUCACUUGCCCUUUACAGUGCUGGCACUUUAUCCAGUUUAAACUGCGCAGGUCUUUUGUGUGCUGUCACCCCUUUAAUCCCAGCACUUGGGAGGCAGAGACAGGUGGAUUUCUGAGUUUGAGGCCAGCCUGGUCUACACAGCAAGUUCCAGGACAGCCAGGACUACAUAGUGAGAGCCUGUCUCACCCUCACCACACCGUCCCCCUCCGCCCUCCAAGGAUCUAGAAAAGGAAGAAUAAGUGAAUCCAUUACUGUAAGGUAGGGCUGGUUAACAUAUCACACACACAUACACAUGCACACACACACAUACACAAAUACAGAUACACACACACAUAUACACAGACACACACACACACAUAAACACACAAUACACACAUACAUACACACACACAUACACACACACACACACACAAACACACACACACACACACACACACACACACAUAUUCAUCCCACCAUUUCCGUGUCUAAUGUCCAAACGUUCCUAUGCUAUUUUUCUCUGGGCUCUUUCCUAUACCUCUUCACGACUCCUGCAGCCCCAUUCACGUGGCUGUCAAAUGCACAGCACUUGUGAGAACUGACUCAGACUCGAUGGCUUUUACAGAUCAACCUUUAGUAUUUACAACUGAUUGUUUCCUCUCCCAAAGGCGAAGGAAAAACCAGAACUCCUUCUUUUACUUUAUUUCACAUUUCUGUCCAACAAGCUUUAGAGAUGUAUAUGUUCUAUAAACGUAAGAUAGAAACUGGGAUAGGAACCAAGAACCCAAGUCUCUUUGCUUUAGUUUCUUUUCUACCGCAAAAUUGCUAGUCUAACCUACUGCCUUCAAUAGGAAUGUUAGCACAAUAUAUCUAAAAUGCAUUUAUAAAAGUAAAAAGUAUUACCUAUUCUAAUUAUACACUUCAUAUUUUUCUUUCAAUGAGACUCAAAUUCUGAUUUAAUAUAGCUAAAUAAAUCAGUUCUAUGCACACCUGCUUCUCUCCACACAAAAUAUGCAUGUACACAAAACACAGGCACCUGAUUAUGGGAAAUCAGAAAUUAGGCCCACAUAAUGGAUUUUCUUUUAACCACCCACUCGACAUUUAUAGUCCACUUUAAGGGCUCCAUGCCUAGAAUUGGCAGCUCUAGGAACAGUGAGAUCAGUUUGUCUACAGUUGUUCCCAACCUUUUUUGGCUCUGGUACACCUACACUUGCUUCCAAAAAUAUACCCCACAGUCUGGUGCUCAAUGGAAUGAAAAUCUUCCCUGAGCUAAUAGAAUAUAAAACAGGGGAGGGAACAGACAUAGCUCUGUAUUUCCGGGUACUCGUACAACACAGUGAGGCAAAGCAGCGGAAAGGACAUGACUGGUGCAGCACUGGGAGAAAAGGGGUUUCCAGCUGCUCCCUCGACACACUGCUUUAGGAGAGACUUACAUGUAUCGAUCUCCAGCCACCAGUUUGGUCUUCUCUGAGACAGAGGAUAUAGUUUUGAAGAGAUGGCUAGCUCAAAAAAAGAAAAAUGGUGUGGCCAGUAGUACCAUUUGAGCAUAUGAAAACUAAUGGGUUUAUACAAGGUCAAAAAAUCACGCUUUGGGCCCUACUUGGAAUGUAUUGUAACUGCCUGAGUUAACUAGCUAUAGAUAAUGCCUAGAAGAAAACUGAUUUUAAAUCAGAAACAAAAAUGCGAUCGAGGGCAUAACUCAGAUAAAUCGUUCAGUCUCAGUGAGCCGCCUUCAAUAUUGAGCCUAUUCCAAGUUGUGCCCAGUAAGAGGCAAAGAUCCUUUAUUUCCCUGGGCACUCAGAAUUGUUCAUAAUUUAUACCAUUGCUCUCAAUAAUUUUAUUUCUUGGGAGUUGAAUCUCAACAAUUUAUGUCAUAAUUCAUGUAAUUAACAUGCAUUUCUUAGAAUGUUUUUACUAAAUUUUGAUAAUGCUUAUCGUAAAAUUUCUUUGCUUUUGAGGGCAAACAGAAAUCUUUGAAGUUAAAUGAUGUUACCUUCUUUAUGAAUAUAAAUAUAUCUUGUAGAAAAUUUACUGCAGGGGAGUCCUGGUCAGGAUAUUAAUAAUAAGAAUUUAGCAACCUCCAUGAUACUGCUUAGAUCAGUGCAGCUUCAACCUUCCUAAUGCUACAACCCUUUAAUACAGUUCCUCAUGUUGUGGUGACCCCAGCCAUAACAUUAGUGAGAACCACUGGCUUACAUGAAACCGUCAUCAUCUCUUACAAAAAGGAUGCUGGAGAGAGCCAUGUGCUGCCCCACAGCAUUCCUUCAUGUAGUAUACGCUCUAACCUGUCUACAAUACAUCCUAUAUUACCAGAAGAUAAAAUUUGGCUUUGUGGGGAGCUGGAGAGAUGGCUCAGAGUUUAAGAGCACUGACUGCUUUUCCAGAAGACUCAGGUUCAAUUUUGAGUGGCUCACAAUAGUCUGUACCUCUAGUCCUGGAAGCGGGUAGGAGAUGAUCUCCCGCCCUCUUCUGGUCUCUGCAGGUACUGCAUGUACAUGUUGCCUAGAUACAUGCAGGCAAAAGAUGAAUACACAUAAAAAUUAAAAACCUGAAUUUUGUAAAAUAAAUUCAUAUUUUUAUUAUUGUCAUGCCAUUAAGGUAUAUCAGACAAGACCAGUUUUAAACUGAUCUCAAUUUAUGCCUUACUUAGAUUUUUCCCUAGUUUCUAGAACAAUUUAAAGAGCCAUAUCCCUUAAUUCUUAAAAGGCACAGAAAAUAAAGGUUUGUGGAAUUGUAACAAAGGACAGCUAGGAAGUAAAUGUAGCUUGCUGGCAUCCCAAGUAAGUCAGUAGUAUCAACUGUGUAAGAAUUGUGUGCAUAAUUAGAUUAAAAUUUGAGGACAUGGCGGCGGGGGGGGGGUGACUUUUACUUGGUGAUAAUGACCAAAAUAUGGAAAUCUGGAAAGCCAGGCUGCAGAACAAGUACAUGCUGGAAAGCCGGGGCCAGUGCUUCUCUGGGUGCCACCAUCUGCUCCUUGCACCAGAGUUCUGGGCUCUUCUUCCAGUUAAACAGAAAUUGAGAAUGAGAAUUCUUACUAUUUCAGACAUUAGAAAAAGGAGAAAAGAAAUCAGUCAGGUACAGAUACGGACUUUGAAUCUGGAUCUACAAUCCCCACUUGACUUUCCUGAGACAAGGCGAUGACAGCAUGAGCUGGCUGACUGUGGAGAACAGAAAGGCUUUCUCCAAGAGAUCACGAAUGGAAGGCUAGUCCCCCCUCCUUUAGCAAGGAGCAGCUCCAGGAACUAUUUGGAAUUAAUGUUAAAAUAGAUGCCAGAGGAAAAAUUAAACUAAAGCCAAAGAGGUGCUAAGAACCAAAAAAAGAAGACUUGGCUGUCAUCCGGCUCCUUUGAAAAGAUACCACGAAACAGAUUAGAAAAUAGAUAAAAUAACCUAAAAUAAUACUAUAUUGAAUAAUAUGAGCAGUACUCUUGAAAACUGAAAAUCAUGAAAAACAAGGAAAGUUUUAGAAGCUUCAAAAGCCAAGAGGAACCUGGGCAGACAUCAUGAGUAAAUGUAUGGCGGCCUGGUUGGGAUCCUAGUACUGAAAGAAAAGGAACCCAAAGGAAAACUUAGCUGCUGUCUGAAUAGACUGUGGAGUGCAGGUAACAACUGUGCGCCAGCAUUGAUUCCUUAACGGUCACAAGUGUACCAUGCUCGUGUGAGAUACUGAAUGCAGAGAAAACUGUGCGGGGUAUAGGAACGCUCUACGAGGUGCCCAUGUUUAAAUACCUUCACAUUUUUUCUAGUAAGUAAAGUUUAUUAGAAAAUCCUAUUUCUAGGUUAUUUGAAAUUAUUCUAUUAAUGAAAAAAAUCCCUAAACUGAGGGUCCAACUCAGAGGCCUAGAUUAAGGGCAGUAAAAGACUUUAACCAUGACAUGACAACAGGUCAAGGAGUCCACAUUCCUCAGGAAGCCAGCACAGAUAGUUCCGAAUCCAGACCUAAGAUCCCUUCAGCGAAUGUCAGCAGGGUCAAUGAUUACGAAGACAAUAAAGCUGUCUGCUAAACUUUGCUCAUCCCAAACAACUUGAGAGCCCUAAAGCACAUUGCAGACAGUAAUGCAAUCUCUGUGUGCAGAAGUAGAGCUAAUGAUUUCCAUGGUAUCAAACAAGCUCAGGAAAUAGGACCUUUAUCAGCUGUCACUGGCCCAGGAAGUGGAGUGUGGGAGGAGGCGGAGGCGGAGAAGAACACAGGCAGCCCAAGCAGCCACCCAACUUAUCCUGUGGUCUGACACUAGCCUUUACAAGAGUAAAGCAACAGACUCCAUGACUCUUGCUCUUCUUGCCUAAUGAUUCUUUAAGAACAAAGUACCAUGAAUAUAAUAUUUAUUAGUAGUUUAUAAACUCUGAAGGGUGAUUUCUCAAGGGAAAUCAGCGGGCCACAGUUACCUAGUAAAACAGAUGUCAAGGUGACAAUAUGUUGAUUCUAAACAUCCAUCCUUCCAUUCAAAUCACAAAUAUUUAUUAAAGACACACGAAAGAAGUCAGUUCAGGAGAACGCUCUGAACUGAUGGAAGAGUUUAGAUGACAAUUGGACCAAUAACUAGAAAAGCGAAUGAAGGUAAGAGAAUUUCAUUUAGAGAACAUUCUUGCUUAACCUUGCGCUCCCUCUAGUGGUCUCUUGGUUAAAAUGCAAUGCUUAUGUAACAGCUCAGUCAGUUAAUGGUUGAUAAGCUCAACUACACUACAAAGGCUUAUCUAAGUUUGGGAUGACACUAAUCUCUUUUCCCUCUCUCCUCCUCUCCCCACCCCAGCCUCUCUCUUUCCUCCCCUCCCCACUAUCUCUAUGUUCUGAUAAUUUCAUUCAGUCUGUUAAGAGAUUAUCAUUGAUUCAGCCAACACAUAUCGGAGCAUACCUUGAUAAGGUAGUAGCUAAUCUUUGCAGUUUAAUUUAUUUUCUAUUUUCUAAACAUUGACAAUCAAUAAUUUGAUCGGUAAUGACAUAAGAACAUACCCCAAGGACUAAAAUCAGUAUUUCUUACUUUUACUUUUCUGCCAUCUCUUCAACAUUCACACUCAUUUGUCCUUAUAAACAUUUUUAUUGAAUAUUUGCUAUAUGCUAGGUAUGAUUCUAGGCAGUGAAGCGACAGGUAUAAACAGGGAGGCCCCACUGAGAAUGUGGUAUGCAAGGACCCAAAGGGACUGAGGUGGCUUUUGGGGGGGGGGCAAGGAAGAAAUAGGAAUGGCAAGGGCAAAGGCCUAGGGGUGAACACAAGGAGUCAGUGAAGGAAGAGAGUAAUAGUUCACCAAGGGACGGGAUACAGGAGUAUUUGGUAGGGACGAGCAGACCAGAGCAUGGACUGUUUUGUUUUACUCUAUGUGAAAUGGGGAGGCAGCCAGCCAAUGCAGCAUGACAAGCCAAGGAGUGACAGGAUCUAAUUUAUGUUGUGACAGGGUCACUGUGCCUGUUCUGCACAAAACAGAUCAAAGGGACAAGGCUAGAAGCAAGAACACUGUCUGGGCAGCUGCUGUAAUACAGUAAGAGAAAUGUUAGUAGCUUCCACGGGGAGGAAGAAUAAAGACCGACUGUAGACAUCUGAAGACAGAAUUACUGCCCCCCCCCUUUUUUUUAAGUAUCUAAGCGAUCGAAUGUGACUCAUGAGCAGGAGGAGUCAAGAAUGACCCAAACAUGUUUGGCUUCAUAGGUCUCAAGGAUGGAUUAUUUUUUUGAUAUAUACUGAGUUUAGGAUAUCAACCUGACAACCAACAAUCAAGUCACGUUGACCAUUCUGUCAUGAAUCUGAGUCAGGAAUCCUCAUAGUCCAGAUUUCUCUUAGCAUUCUUGUCUCCCAUUUUCCUACCAGAUCAGCUCAUUCAACUCUACGUCCAUCAUUCAGUGGCUUUUCUAAGACCAAAGCACCAAACUUGCCAAUAUUCCAGCCACAAAACAAUUCCAAAGGCCCAAGAAUCAAGCAGUCAGAUUUACCCCAGCAACGGGGUCCAUGUCCUGGUACCAAUCUUAGGUUCUUUUCCUGAUGCUGUCAUAAAAUACUCUGACAAAAGCAACUGUAAUGGAAAGGGGCUUUAUUUUAGCUUAGAAUUCCAGAUUACAGUUCAGCAUGGUGGGAAAGAAAGCCAAAGCAUCAGGAGCUUGGAGCAGCAGUCACAUUACAUCCAGCCAGAAUAGGAAUGAAUGCAUGCUGCCUUCCUUCCUCUUCUCUAGUCAUCUAGUCCAAGAGCCUCUGAGGAUAGUUCUGUUCACAAUUAAGAUGGGUUUUCCUACAUCUAUUAAUGUAAUCAAGAUAUAACCGCCCGCUCCCCGCCCCUACACAGGCACGCCAGAGGCACAUCUCCCAGACAAUUCUAGUUCCUGUCAAGUUGAUUUAAUGUUAAAGUGUUAAUCAUUACAGUACCUGUACCUGUAUAUUUUUAUGUGUGAGCAUGUGUGUGGGUGAUGUGCACGGAGGCGCAAGGUUGACAUCUGAUAGCCUCCUCAUUGUUCUCCACAUUAUUCACUGAGGCAGGGUUUCUUACUGAACCCAGAGCACACUGGAUACAGGAUACCCACCCUGCUCUGGGGAUUUGAGCUCUACUUUCUGAGCACCAGAAUUACAGGCAGGCCACCACACCUACUUAGCAUUCACAUGGAUUCUGAGGAUCUGAACCUUUGUCCUCAUGGCUUGGCAGCAACUGCUUUAUUCACUAAGCCAUCACCUUAGCCUUGAUGUACUUUUUGAUUGCUGUUUCCAGCCUCAGCUGAAAACAACAUUUCUUCCUACUUAGACAAGGAACUGGGUAUUUUUGAAGUUCCCCUUUGUUUUUACUCUCAGCAGUCAAGUCAAUGACCCAGGGUCAUUUAUUUAUUCAUUGAGACAGGCUCUUACUACAUACCCCAGGCUGGUGUCACAUUUACAGCAAUAUUCCUGCCUCUAUCCCCAGGUACUGUGAUGUUAGGCAUGUUCCAACACGCCUGGCUGGUUCACUAAGUUCUACUGGCAAUGCCUGCAAGACUGCUCUCUAGCACUAUCCUUUCACAUCUGCUGUUGCUAUCUUUGUUCAUGCUUUCAUGACCCCUUCUCUGGCCACUGAGCAAAACGGUAUGACCUUUCUGCCUUCAUCAGUGGGAAUGGACAUUGUAGUCCAGCAGCUCCAGGGUCAGGAGGUGGGAGCAGAGGAAGAGACAGGGACUAAGUCUUGGUAUUUGGGUCUUAAAGUGAAUACCACUCCCACACUUGAGAGAGUGCUAAUGUUGCAUGGGGUAAGCAUAUGUAUAAUAGUAUUACUGGAACAGUGUCCCCAACACUCCACCAAACUAUUUCUUGGUCAACAACUCUGCCAGUGAAUCAGGUAGUAGACCAGUUGUGAACCUGUUAGAAAUCUGGCUCUCUUCAAUGGCACAACCAAUCUCUCAUUAUUCUAUCAAAAUAAAUAAAUGAGUAUGAUAAAUAAAAUAACUGCUCUCUCUUUCAGAUUUUAGUUGCUGGCGCUUACUACAGAGUCCAAUGAACUACACCAUGGAUGAGUGAGAGGUAAGAGGGGUGAUCCCAGAGGAAGAAGGGCACGGCUUGUUCUGACGUAGGAGGGCAGUAGGUAGAUGGCUGAAUGUCAUUUCAAGUAUUUCUGAAAAAAGACCUGCAACUUUGGGCCUGGAGGAAUGGGUCUCUGCUGAAAGGCAAUCAGGCUGGCAACACACAGCUGAAAAACCCAGUUAGCAGAACUCACACACAACUUAGCAGCAUACAUUGUUUGGUGUUUCAUAUGUACUGGCUGCUGCUAUUCUUUAUAUGCUAUGGAUAUUAUCCCUUCUGACACAGCUGCUUUGUGAGAUAGGCACUAUUAUCAUCACCAUUUAUAUGUGGGGAAACUGGGGAAAGAAAGUCUAAACUGUUCAAGGUCAAUACAGGAGGUGGCCCAGUAGCUGCAGAGUCCUUAUUUUUAAGCCUCAUGUUGGUGAAGACCAAGUGAACGUGCCCUUGACAGUUACACACACACACACACACACACACACACACACACACACACACACACACACACAGUCUAGGAACUUCCCCUGGGUUGUUGAUACUUGCAGCAGGCAUGGAAGCCAUACACUAGAGAAGAAUGCUGGGGUGAGUUGUGGGAUGGCUUCUGGAGUCUGUCAUGUUAGGUGUACCUGCCAGCUCACAGCUGUGGGGAGGGCCUGAGGUGAAGGAGGCAACAGCACCUAGGAUGGACAUGCAAACAGUAAGGGGGGGGGUCACCAGCAGUUUAAGGGAGUUGGAGAUGGAGAGAAAAGCUUCAAUGAAGUUGAUUCUGACAGCAUCCCAAAGGCCUGGAGGUCUUGGUCUGCUUGGUCUCAACUGGAAGAAUCAUAGAGACACAGAAGAGGUUAGGCCCAGAUGCAAGGCACACAUAAAAGACCCUCAGGGCCCAGAGUUUUCAAACAGUGUUGAGCUUCAAAAGAAAUGAGAGAAACUGGUUCCAAAUGAGUAUGUUUAUGCCACAGCCCUAAAAUGUCUGAUUUAGGAAUCUUCACUUUAGGAAUAAUGAGCAGAUGGCUUGCUGAUAGUCCAUCAGAUCAUAUGCAAAGUGUGAUUGGCUGUGUGGGCCUGUUUAAGAGGAACCAUUGGGCAUAGGCAAGCCCCAGGUCUAAUGGAAUGAUGCAUCUAGGAACAUAAACCUUUGGGCUGUAUCAUUCACGUUAGACGUGAAACAUUGUGUGCUACAUCUGCCUGCUGUCUAUGCUGUUGCUGAAGGUAAAUGGUUACAAUAUUGGGCUGGAACCAUUUCAAUUGCCCCUGAUAUUCUAUAGUCUCCAUGUCUGCUCUUGCUGCUCCAGGAUGGAAUGGUCUAAGCUCUUACCAAGCUGUCUCUUUCCCUUUAAAGGAAGCACCUAUCUAUCUAGCUUCCAAGUAGUCUUGAUCACUAAGAACUCUAGUUAUCACUUGGGGCAAUAAACCUUUGUUGAGACCAGCUUCCUAAAGAACUGAUACAAGGGCAGGGAUCAAAGUACGCAGAUCCUUCUGGGACAGGAUAGCACCCCUACCCUGCAAGUUGAUGAUAUCAGUCAAGAUUGCAGGCUAUCUUAGCUACUUUUCAAUUACUGUGACAAAACAUGAUUACUAACUAAGGUAACUUUUAAACUAAAGCAUUUAAUUUGAGGCUCACAGCUCUAGAGGGUUAGUUGAUGACCAUCAUGGCAGGGAGCAUGGCAGUAAGCAGGCAUGGUGCCGGAACAGUAGCUGAGAACUUACAUCUGAUCCACAAGCAAGAGGUGGAGAGCCUAGGAGUAGCAUGGGCUUUUGAAACCUCAAAGCCUGCACCUAAAGACACUCCUCUUCCAACAAGGCCACACCUCCUACUCACUCCUAGUUAUGCCAACUGAGGAGCCUAUGGGGGUCAUUAUCAUCUAAAGCAUGACACAGGCCAAAGUAGAAAUAAAUGAGGGCCUUAAGUUACUGGAAGGUCUUUUUUUGUAUGUGUUUUAGAGGACUAAAUCCUCUAAGUUCAGAGGAUAGAUACUAGGUUGGUAAAGACACAGAGGUAUCAUAGAGCUGCCGAUGUUUUUACUUGCUCAGGAAACUUCAUUUCACAAAGGUUAACAACUAGUUCAUGCAAUCUUUGAACAACUAGUUCAUACACACACACACACACACACACACACACAAUGUAGCUCAGAGAUACUCUUUUCAUUCCUGAGGAACAGGCCUGGAAAGAGUACUACUGUAAUCACUGCAUUAGCACUUAGCCCAGAGAACCUAGCAUCACAUUGGGAGAAUUUAUAAAACCACCGCCUAGAGAACUACACUCAUUUGAAGAGGUGGCCAACAUCUCAUUUGCUGGACAAAGGUGUGUGUGUGUGUGGGGGGGUGAAUUCUCUAUUUAUUACCUUUUAUCUUUCUUGAUCUAGAUAAGGUCUGUGAAGGCCACAAGCUUAUGAAUUGAUUAGGCAGUUCUAGAUCAAUGGAAAGGAUUUUCUGGACAGUGGUGACACAUUAUAUUGAUGGAAAGACUCCACUUCUUUUCAGAAAGCAGCUCAAGGCCAAAGUGAAGAGAGGAGCUGAUGAAACCUGCUCCAAGAUACCAUCCAAAACUUUGGUUUUAGAGAAGGCCUUGGUGUGAAGCUCACAGAGCUCAUUUGCUGGUGCCAGCCUGGGGAAGGACUGAGUAACACGGGACAAGGACAUGCCAUCCAUGGAUGAAAUAAGGUGUCCGACUUUGGUGGGGAGAUGAUGUGGCUGGCUUGGCAUCCAGAUCUCCUUUUCAUGCAGUUAUCUACAUGUUGGCAGCGUGGCUAUCAAACAGUCAGAAUUUGGAGCCAGAGAACUGGAUUCCUUUUCUAACUCUAGACUUCCUACUUCUAUAACUUCAGGGUACUAUGCAUGGGAGUUUGCAAGUCUGUACACGCACAGAGGCCAGAGAAGGAUGCCACACGUCCUGCUCUGUAACUCUCAUGCACAUUCACUUGAGACAAAGAGUCUCUCAUUGAACCUGAACCUGGAGUUAGACUGGCGAUCAGCAAGCCCCACCAAUUAUUCAGUCUCUUGUCUACCCCUGCCAAGACAUUGAGCUUACAGGUACGUGUGACGAAACCCAGCCUUUCCCGUAGAUUCUGGGGAACCUGGGUCGUAGUGCUUGUACAACAAAUGUUCUUACUUUUUCUAUGCUAUCUCCCCAGAGUCUGCUAAUAUAAAAAGUUUCUAUUAGUCGGUCUCUUACAGUUAUCUCCCAGAGGAAGGAAAGACGGAGGAAAAGCCUGGACCCUCUCAAUCAGCUCCUCACAAUAAAGGACAAACGGAACAAGAAUAAAGGAAAAUACACUUAAGACAAACACAGAGUCUCAAAAUCGCCAAGAUUCGAAGCUCCCCAGCUUUACUAACGCAAGUGAUGGAAUACUCUCUCCUAACAGUUUGUGGUCCAGGACCCCCUAUUGGUAACUCCGCUCACCUCUGCGCCAAUCCUUCCCCUCCCCCGCCCCCCGCCCCCACUCGAGCGUUGGAUGCCCCACUGCGCUCUCUGAAGGUAAUGAACCACUUCCUUCUGCUCGGCUUGGCGUGCCUGGCACUGCUAGUUACAUUUUUGCUGAAGGUAUCCUUCAGUCCAGUUUUCUCGUUUCCUAAUGUACUCCCUUUCACACCCUCCCACCCCCAUCCCCGCAAACCGUGGUCUUUGAUCCAGACCUCUCUUACCCGUUUGGGGACCUUCACAAGGGAGUCGCAGAUGCUGACAUACUCGGGACUGUAAAUAUAAACCGGGGGUAGUGAAUGCCCACUGUUGGCGGGUUCCUCUGGCAUCUCCAUCUCCCACUUCCAACCGUCCGCGAGCCAAAGUCUGGAGCCAACAGUUUUCAGACUCAGCCUGAGCUCCAGUUCCUGCUCCUCUGUUCAGCCCCAGCGGUGCUCCCUUGUCAACAUUCCCUCCUAUUUAGAUCGCCGGAGACAGUUUCCCUGGUCCCUCGUCCAACUACAGGGAUGGAUGGGCCCUUCCAGACCAGAUGCCUUCUACUGAUGACCACAGUUCAAAAAAGGUGCCUGACAGAUAUAAAAACCAAAUAACUGCCAA